rnacentral:lncRNA from 1 species
AAAACCAACACAAUAUAUAUGAUGAUAACGAUGAGCGGUUGAACUUCAUCAGUAAAAUGAUCACAGCAUUGUUCUUUAUUUCGAAAUUGCGCAUCAGCUGGCGCAUUAGCAUGAUCACUUGGAACACCAUAAAAUUGAUUAGGAUGUAUGGGAUGGCAAAGGAGGAUGGGCCGACGUCGCCCAUGCGCCGGAAGAAGAAUAUGUAUUUUUGCACCAAUCCAUGCAUUGGUCCAUUGAAACAUAGCAGAGGUUGUUUGUUAAACAACACUCGCAACGAGAUGCACCUGCGCAGUCUAUACCACUCUUAUGCACGCACAAUCCAUGUGGUAAAUUAAUCUUGUUGUUGAGUUUGCCAUCCAUGAUUCGGCCUACGGACAAAAUUUAAAAAUCAACCAUUAAAAUCCAUAAGACCCGUCGGUUACCAAAUUGAAUGACGACUAUGUAUCUAGCAGGGCGAAUACACACACAUAAAUCGGAACAGGAAUAAACUACAUACAACCUUUGUGGUAGUGCACGAUCAACUAGAGAACAAGCUAGCAUUAUUUGUAAAGACAAAUAUGCACGACGAGGGCAUACUAGUUUGCAGAGAUGAGGGUUAAACUCUUUUUCAGUUCUAUCUUUUUUAUGCGAUUAUAAUAUUAGCAAAAGAUUGUGUUAUGGCGAGAAGGGGAAAUAUUAAUAACUCAGGACGUGACUUACAAUGUACAUGGAUAGGAAAGCACACCAGAAGCAGCAACGAGAGUAGUGUUGGUGCAUGGGCAAGGCCGGUGCGCUUGGCCAUCAAGACCACGAUGCAAUUGAAAUUGCAAAUACUUCCUUCGGGAGUGAGUAUGUAUGUUUUCUGAUCGGAGUACCCACAAUAUGCUCGCUCUAUCUACACAUUGUUGGCAUAUAUAUACGAGAGAGAGAGAGGGAUAGAAUAGCCCACCUCUAAAAAUGUGUCUACCAAUAUAAAUGAUUACUUAGUAUACAUUAAUUGUAAUCAAUAUAUAUAUCCUUAGAAUACAUUAUAUCCUUAUAAUACAUUAAUUAUAUAUAUUCUUAGACUACAUUAAUCAUAUAUAUACAUUCUUAGAAUACACAUUUAUAUAUAUGACAAAUGUUUCCUACCACUGUUAGUUACGCUCAUGUGAGUCUUUUAUGUUGUAUUACUUCCCUUCCAAAUUUACCACAUAUGCAUUUGUAUCCAAAUAAUGAACACAUGCACAAAUUCCCUUGCGUGCAUGAUCUUCAUUUGAUUCUUUCAAAAACAUAAGUUUGUACCUUAGCAGAUAUGACGUGUCGAUGAUAUGUCACCUAGAAAUGAUAUACCCGAGGUACGAUGUAGAGAAAUCAUACACCCAGAAACACGUCCCAGAAAUGAUAUACCCCAAAAUAAUAAUUAAAGCUUGACAUACUGAAAAAUUAUAUACCCAAAAUCAAUAUACUCGAAUGUGAAAUGUCCAAAAUUUUGUGAGUAUGGACUAUCGUUCCAAAAUAUUUCGAAGUAGGUAUAUAUAUCUCCAAGAUAUUAGUACAUGCAUACAUAUAGUACUAUGCAUGAGAAUUACGCAUGCAUACCCCCAAAAAAGUAAAAAUGUUCUAUGCAUAUACCUUACACAAAUUAUACCCCAUAAAGAUGUUACAUAUUUGAAAACUCUGAUAUUUAGAUAUCCUACAAACAAAAUUAUGGGUAGAUACCCAUAUUAUAUUUUGUAUCAUAUUCUCGUAUUACGAGGUAUAAAACAUUAUACAAAGUGUGCAACAAGCUUUAUAAAUAAUCUAAUGAAUCAAACAACAUAUAAUAAUCUAAUAUCAUAUUCUCAUACGUGGAGACAUGCCUGAGGUAUCAAUCUAUUAUAUAAGACAGAAGACAAAUAAGACACCACAUUGAUCCACAUAUAUUAAAUUAUAUCAACCAUUAAUUUUGGAGAUUGACGGUUAAGAUUUAAAGAUGUAAACGUUACAUACAAAUAUUGUGUACGUGCCUUCUUAUCACUCAAAAAAAAUCAUGUACACACUAGAAACGUCUAAAACUAUCCCACAUGCAGUGGACUUGCCUGGGGACGUAUUACGGUGGAUUUGGCUGGGUACGUAUUAUGGUGGAGUGCUUACUAGCGUGCUCCUUCGCAGAGGCACGUCAGGAGAAGCGCCGGGCUAGUGCAUUAGCAAAUCAUGAGUUGGCUGAUUACGGAGGUCGUCAAGAUCGCAUCAUGCUUAGGUCCGGCCAGUUCAUCUACCACGACCACGUAGUCGCCCACAUAGAUUGCAUCAAUGCACGUGGCGAGGAGAUGCACUAACUUGAUCAUGGAGUGCUCCUCCUUGCAUCCACCCACUUCCUCAGAAACCGUGAACGCAGACGGGAAUGUCGGUUGAAUGAGAUGCUACUUGACUGGUCUAUGUAGUACAUCAUGCCGGCACCAUUGGUGGUUGUAGUACCUUCGAUAUAUGGGACCAACAACUGGUCUGUAACAUGAACCAGGUGUGAAGACUUGGGAUGCACAUCAUGUAUGCAUGAAAUUGAAGUCCGACACAUACAUUUCUUUCAAUUUGAAUAGAAUGUGGUGCUAUAUGGAAAUAGGGCUGCCGUUAGAGGUCGAUGGUCAAUAUAUAUGGCAGAGAAUAGAUGGGGGCUUGCGGGUGGAUUUAGGAUUUAUUGUCAAGGUCAAUCGCAUAACUACACAUACUUGAUUGCGUCACACUUGCAUAUACGAGGUCCGGUCAUCCAAAGAAUCUUAGCACGUCUAAUCUAAAUAGGUUUAUUUUAAUUUCAAUGCAUAAAAGACAUGGGUACAUGUACAUACAUACAUGGACUCGGCACCAAUUGAAGACAAGCAUUUGCAGGUGACAAAUGAAAAUUAUACAACAAUGUUAUCCUUAUCAGAACAUCAAAUACGUGUCAAGGAUGGUGAACGGCCUGCCGAACACAUAAAACAACAUGGAGGAUGAAAACCUACGGUUAGUGAGGUCAGCUACAUUACCCAAAGCUAUGGCUACAUGGGGGCAAAUUUUGGUAGUAUUGCAUGUGUUCAUGUCCAGCGGGAUGUGAGCAAAAUACUUGGGUUGUGAUUCACAUUUUUUUUAUUUGUUGCAUCUUUGAGAACCAAUCUAAUACUCCCUCGCCUCACAAUAUAAGAUGUUUUUUCGAGCUAUGUUAGCUCGCAAAACCGUCUUAUAACAUGGGAUGGAAGGAGUAAAUGAUAAUUUUAGUAUAGUAAACUUUCACAUUUAUCUUAUAAACAUUUUAUGUCUUCCAAGAUUUGACCAUGGCAAUCAAGAAUAUUAGCUUCAAAAUGGUAAAAAAUUCCACUAGCAAUAUCAUUUUCUGUUGUGGAAAGUUUAUAAUAAAUCUAGGAGAGCAAAGACUUGACAAUGCAGACGUGUCAAACGCUUCACAAACUGGGACACAACACAUAAUUAUAAUUAAAAAUCCAUUUAACAAAAUCAAACACGUGAAAGUUCUAUGUCCUAUUAACAUAUGUUUUCCCCACGGCUCUGGUGACUUCUGCUCUCUUAACCAUACCAAUGCCAUCAUAGCCUGGGUUUGGGAAACUGGAUAAAAGCAAUGCGUUGUAAAAUACUAAUUAUAAGCUUAGGGCUUAAAUGUUGUUAAUUAGGGAUAUGACUUUGUGGAUAACUAAAACCAUUUUACUUGGGAGGGGAGGGCCACUAAUCCAUGGUGCUUGCCGAUUAAGAGAUAGAUAGAUAGAUAGGUAGGUAGGUAGGUAGGUAGAUAGAUAGAUAGAUAGAUAGAGAGAGAGAGAUAGAUAGAUAGAUAGAGAGAGAGAGAGAGGGAGAGAGAGAGAGAGAGAGAGAUUUGAUAUUAGGGAGCAAGGAGACAAAAAUACACAUUGGAGUUGCCACAAUUAGGCUAUAAAAUAAAUAUUGAUAUGCUUAGUAUUGGACCAUGUAGAAGGUCCUAAAGUACAAAUGACAAUAUGGCAAUAACACCACAAGUAAUGAGAAUUUAUUAAAAUUAAAGCACGAAACAACAACACAUUUCGUAUGGAACUACCACCUACGUUACAUCGUGAUUGAUCUCAUAAGAUAUUCCAAGUUUCUCAUGGAAAUAAUAAAACAAAUUUUAAAACUUUGCAGUACAAUUUCCCUAAUAAAACAACAUAUACAUAUGAAGCUAAUGUAGGCAGACAAAGGCAUUACUGAUCCGUCCACAUAAAUACAUACAUUGUUGGCACAUGUGUUUGAAUUUGAAAUGUACUUUGUCAUCCAAUCAUAUUUAAGUUUAAUGGUUCUAUAUAAUUCAUUCUCAGUAAGAACAUUUAUGAGUUUUAACACACCCUACAAUGAACUAAGUGACUCAAGAACUAACUGAAAAACUUAUGACGGACACGAUGUUUUUUUGAAAAUGAAAAUAUUUAAGAUGAAAAAAUAUACAUUAUAACGUAUGAAAUGUAGAUUAAAAUUUUCUAGCCGCGCAAAUGCGCGGGUAACCCCGCUAGUUACCUAACAUAAUGUAUAUACCUAGAAAUAUCAUGGGUAUGCAGAUACCUCGAAAUAUCUUGAGUAUGUGCACAAAUCUGGUAUGCAUAAAAUAAAGUAUCUGAAUAUGUGAAUUUUUUAGUACCCAAAUAUAUUCCUGGGUUUUGCUCCUUGGUGAAUCCUGACUAUAUUGAUCUAAAAAGAUACUACUCCCUCCGUCUCAGUUUAUAGGGCGUGCAUGUAGUUCUAGGUCAUCCAUUUGACUAACUAAUAUGAGUUACUAUGUCACAAAAAGUAUAUCAUUGGAUUCUUAAGCGGAUGUAAUUUGUAAACAUAUAUUGUUUAUCACAUAUAUAGCCAGUUAAAUUCUCAACCUAGAAUGACGUGCAUGCCCUGUAAACCUAUACGGAGGAAGUAGUAAAAAUGAGGUGAUUUUAUCGAGCGGUGGUACAACUGUUAUGUGUACCCUCUGCUGUUCUGCGCUGCUAUUUGGUGCAUGACACGUCGACUCGGUUGCUAUAUGUCCCACAUGUAGGCAAGAGGAAGUACAGAAUUCAUGAAAGCGAGCGUCGACGGAGGAGUACAAGACACGGCUUGGUUUUUGCUGCUUCGCACGAUCCAGCGAUACAAACCCGGACUAAAAAAGGCGAGGGCGGGUCUUUUUCCGCACGGCAGGUAGGGGAGUUUGUCAUUGUCUGUUCGAGGCAACGAGGCAGGAAGGAAAAUAAGCAAAUAAAGGUUGAGCGACUUAGUGUUGGGAAAAUCUGAUUUUACGGAGUACGUACCCACUAUGGAGGUAGUACUACUUACUACUCCCUCCUUUCCGGUUUAUAGGGCUCAUCUAAAAAAAUUUGUUUUUUCAUUUUAUAAGUCUCAAUUCUACUAGUAGUAGUACCAUCACAUGUUUGGAUUUUGAGGUGCAUUAAAUCAGCCGAUGCAAGCAGUGUCAAGAUAAAACUCACCAAUGCAUGUAGAAGUUCAGGAAAAUUUAGUGGUCAUGCAUGCAUUCGUUCUAAUUAAUGCCUCAGCAAAUAUAACUUCUUGAGAAAAACGAGCGUACUAAUUACUUGUGCAAACUACGAAAUUAAUUCCACCACUCACCGUCUACCUUGAUUGGAGAGAUUUUGAAAUUGAACCAUAAACCGGAUAGGAGGGAGUAGUAGCAUAGCCUAGGGUAGCUUGUUGCACCACGGACUCCAAAGAAAUUGUUGUAGUACUACUCCUAUGUACCACUGUACUACUCCUACUACUAAAAGACAUAUAUUUAAACAAUAUGAUAGUCUCUAUAAACAAGGUAUGGACGAGGAGUAAACGGAGGGAGUAGUAAAAUUUUCUCCUCGUCCUGCGAGCCACCGCGCGCGUGGGCGAGGGCGCGGGCGUAAGGCGUACUGCGAGCCACCGUGCCCAUGGGCGGCGGAGAUGGCGUACUAAGCAAGCUUCUCCUCGUCCUGCGUGUUGAUGGGACACAUCAAAAGUAAUACGUACAGAGCAUCUCCAGUGUAUAGAGCCUUGCCUCUAAGGUAGGCCCCACAUGGUUUGCCUCUUAUCAAAUGAAAAAACUGAGCAUGUGAGAUGAUGAAUGGAAGGAGCACGAUACCAUUAGUACUACAGUUCUUUUGGAAGGGUUGUAGUAGUCCCUCCCAUUCACAUGUUCACAUUUCAAGCUUCAAUAAAAAUGUUGCACGCAAGGAUUAAGAGAAACCUCGGCAAUGCAUGUACUCCCUCAAUCCAUAUAGGGUAUAAAAUGCGUUUUGGAGGUUAACUUUGACCACAUAUUAGAGCAAUAAUAUGACAUCCAACUUACACAAAUCUUACCAUCAAAUCCAUACGUGGUCAUUAUACUGCUAACACAUGCAUGUGUUGCAAUUAGUAUGUAGAUACAGUAGUAAACACUCACUAUCUAGUAGUACUACUAGUACUCUAAACUACUACUACUAUGAGGCCAUCCAACUAUGUCCCGGGCUCCCGGCAGAAGAUCACAGACACCGAUUAUUCGUUCAUAUUUAAAUUUGUUUUCACACAGCAAAAUAUCUCUAUCUCUACUCUCUUAUAUAAAAAACCGAGUCGGUGAUGAUGGUGUGCCUGCCAUCUUGUAAUAUAGACCGCCUGAUCUAUAUCUGACGGAUAGAAAGCAAACUAGGACAAUUUUACAAAAGAUACCCGCACCUCUCUCCAUAUUUACAGAUAAGGCCUUGUCUAGUUCAUCCUUAUCUCCCACAAUCUCAUUGCUGAGCAAUUAAAAAAGGAAGUCUCUAGAACAAUCUAGCAUGGUGGCCGCUGCUGCCUGCCGGCGCCGUCCCUCCCCAUGCAUCUGCCCAGUCCGACCACCAGUCAUCACCACGCCCCACUCCUCCUCACCUUAUAUCUCAUCUUUCAUUUUUUCAAUGAAAUUCUUGAGAUAUAAUUUUUCCAAUAAAAUUCUCGAGAUAUCAUUAGUUUUUACACAUGGGAUUAGUCCUGCAUGGGUCAAUCACAACAAGUGUUUUGUAAAAAAUGCAUCUUGAUGUUCCGUGCAAUGCACGAGCAUAUUGCUAGUCCAUGAGAACAACACAUGGCAAAAUUUCAUGGCGAACGAGGGAUUUGAAUUUGCUGGGAAGGUCUGUUUCGAUCUUGCCCGAGGUAGCCAAAAUAUUGGCGACCCUUUUGUCCACCAGUGCCUUUGCCACGAUGAACAAGGAAUAGCUCGGGUGCUCAUGCAUCCUCCAGCCCGCCUUGGAGACAAGCUCGCAUGAGUUGUGCUUUUUUGUCCCACCACGCCGGCCGAGCCGGCCGCAGACCGAGCGGUGACCCGCAAAUUACGCCAUCCAACUAUAGCCGCACACAUUCUGACAGCAACUCAACCAACAGGAUGAAACUCAUGCAAACUCGGCGAUAUUUCAUAUAAACAAUGACGGAAUUCAUAGAAAAUACCAGAUUUUCAUACAAACAUGACAGAUUUCAUUACAUUCAAAUCAACUAAGCCGUGCUAGUUCUGAACAUCACAUGUAUAAUAAUACAGCCUAAAUGGUCGCCCGCCGAUCCAUUGGUCUUCCUCAUGUCCGAUAACAUGAUCACCGGACUACCGGGAGCCCCGAAGGUAUAUGCUUCAACGCAAAGGAUGGUUCGCUUCCCCACUGCCGAACUGACAUCGUUGGCUGAUGCCCAAGAUGGAGGUGGAAGGGGGGCUUCUCCGCUUCCAUGGAGCCCAUCCGGGGUCUACGAAGGUCCUCGCAACAAAAGGAUCCAGCAAGACACCUACUGUGUACGCCGACAUUGCCUCCGCGGUGGCCUUCAUGGGACCCAAGCGAUGGCGGCCUCCCGUGUUCUACUUCUCCUCGAUGAUGGCGGCAGACGCGGAGGAGCUGGCCACCGACUCGUCGCUCUCCGUGCACCUAGCUUCUGUCUCUGCUUGCAUGGCGCGGCCGCAGGCAUGGGAGUCUCGGCCACAGAAAUGGGAGACGCGGUGGAAGACACGGGAGGCGGCGGUGUGGACGGCAGCGACGACGCCCGUGCUCCCCGCCGUGCCGGCAUGGAGCAGCUCGCCGCUCCUCGUCGAGCUGGCCUGGAGCGGCGAGUUGCUGAAUUGCGCACCGGCUUGGGGCGGCAACUGGCUCCGUCGGACGAGGGGAGGGAGGUGGAUCAGUGAGCUGCAUAGCUCGUAUCCGGCGGGCUCGGCGGGCCACCCAGCAGGCUUGGAUGACGGAUCAACUACUCUUCAUAAGCCAUUGUAAGAGUGGACAAAAUGGUGAAGGAGGAGAUAGGGGAGCGGCAGAAGUGUGCCAUUCUUGGCCGGCGUCUGGCCUCCUUUAAAUAGGAGAUUAAAUAGACGACGGACGGGAGGAGCUCGGCUGGCGUUGCGUUUAAUGCCGGCCCGGUCAUGAAUGGAUGAUACUUCUCCAAUGUAUCUAUAAGUUAUGAAGCAUUCAUGCUAUUUUAUUAUCUGUUUUGAAUGAUUACAGGCUUUAUUAUACACUUUUAUAUUACUUUUCAGACUAACCUACUAACCGGAGGCCAGCCCAUAUUGCUGUUUUAUUGCCUGUUUCAGUAUUUCGAAGAAAAGCAAUAUCAAACGGAGUCCAAACGGAAUAAAACCUUCGGGAGCGUGAUUUUUGGAAAGGAUAUAAUCCAGGAGACUUGGAGUUCAAGCCAGGGAAGGUUCGAGGAAGCCAGGAGAUAGGAGGGCGCGCCCACCCCUCCUGGGCGCGCCCCUGUCUCCUGGGCCCCUUGAGGCUCCCCCGACCGACUUCUUUUGCCUAUAUAAGUCCACGUACCCUAAAAACAAUGAAGACGAAUAUAGAUCGGGAGUUCCGCUGCCGCAAGCCUCUGUAGCCGCCAAAAACCUCUCGGGAGGCUGUUCCGGCACCCUGCCGGAGGGGGGAUCCCUCACCCGUGGCCAUCUUCAUCAUCCCGGCACUAUCCAUGACGAGGAGGGAGUAGUUCACCCUCAGGGCUGAGGGUAUGUACCAGUAGCUAUGUGUUUGAUCUCUCUCUCUCUCUCUCUCUCUCUCGUGUUCUAUCUAUGCCACGAUCUUGAUGUAUCGCGAGCUUUGCUAUUAUAGUUGGAUCUUAUGAUGUUUCUCCCCCCCUCUACUCUCUUGUGAUGAAUUGAGUUUUCCCUUUGAAGUUAUCUUGUCAGAUUGAGUCUUUAAGGAUUUGAGAACACUUUAUGUAUGUCUUGUCGUGCUUAUCUGUGGUGACAAUGGGAUAUCACGUGCCACUUGAUGUACUUUGGGGCACAAUGGGAUUGAUGAACUUGCGGGUUCCGCCCAUGAACCUAUGCAUAGGGGUUGGCACACGGUUUUGUCUUGACUCUCCGGUAGAAACUUUGGGGCACUCUUUGAAGUACUUUGUGUUGGUUGAAUAGAUGAAUCUGAGAUUGUGUGAUGCAUAUCGUAUAAUCAUGCCCACGGAUACUUGAGGUGACAAUGGAGUAUCUAGGUGACAUUAGGGUUUUGGUUGAUUUGUGUCUUAAGGUGUUAUUCUGGUACGAACUCUUGAAUAGAUCGAUCCGAAAGAAUAACUUUGAGGUGGUUUCGUACCCUACCAUAAUCUCUUUGUUCGUUCUCCGCUAUUAGUGGCUUUGGAGUGACUCUUUGUUGCAUGUUGAGGGAUUGUUAUAUGGUCUAUCUAUGUUAUUAUUGUUGAGAGAACUUGCACUAGGGAAAGUAUGAACCCUAUGCCUUGUUUCCUAGCAUUGCAAUACCAUUUACGCUCACUUUUAUCAUUAGUUACCUUGCUGUUUUUAUAUUUUCAAAUUACAAAAACCUAUAUCUACUAUCCAUAUUGCACUUGUAUCACCAUCUCUUCGCCGAACUAGUGCACCUAUACAAUUUACCAUUGUAUUGGGUGUGUUGGGGACACAAGAGACUCUUUGUUAUUUGGUUCUAGGGUUGUUUGAGAGAGACCAUCUUCAUCCUAUGCCUCCUACGGAUUGAUAAACCUUAGGUCAUCCACUUGAGGGAAAUUUGCUACUGUCCUACAAACCUGUGCACUUGCAGGCCCAACGACGUCUACAAGAAGAAGGUUGUGUAGUAGACAUCAAGCUCUUUUCUGGCGCCGUUGCCGAGGAGGUGAGUGCUUGAAGGUAUAUCUUUAGAUCUUGCAAUCGAAUCUUUUUGUUUCUUGUUUUAUCACUAGUUUAGUUUAUAAACGAAAACUACAAAAAAUGGAUUUGAGUUUGUCAUAUGCUUCAUAUUUUUAAUAUCUUUCGUGAGUAUGAUGGAAAGGAAAAUUGUGCUCAAGUGCUAGAAGAAGAAUCCAUUAAAAUGUUUGCUACUAGAUCCUUGUAUGAUGAGCAUGAUUGCAAUGUUGUUAGUAUGAAUUCCUUGAAUAUCCAUGAUGGUAAUGAUAUGCAAAGCCACAAGCUUGGGGAUGCUAUGUUUGAUGAAGAUAAUAUGUUUAGUCCCCCAAGUUUUGAUGAGAAUUUUUUAUUAUGAUGAAAGCAUGCCUCCUAUUUAUGAUGAUUAUAUUGAUGAAAGUGGAUUUGGAGAGGUCAUGACUUUAUUUAGUGAUGAAUCCACUAUUUCGGAAGAGGUUUCAAUUGAUUAUGAGAACAAAGUUGCUAUCUAUGAUGAUUAUCACUAGUAGAAAAACACCUAAUAGUCCCGGUUCGUAAGGGCCUUUAGUCCCGGUUCAUGAACCGGGACUAAUGGGUCGUUACUAAUACCUCCACCCAUUAGUCCCGGUUCAAACACGAACCGGGACCAAUGUGCCUCCAUGUGGCCCUGUGCGCCGAGCCCAGUCAGGGGGCCUUUGGUCCCAGUUGGUGGCUCCAACCGGGACCAAAAGGCAUCCACGCGUCAGCAUUCCAAUGGCUGGGGUUUUUGUUUUUUUUUGAAAGGAGGGGGGGUUGGGGGUUUUGAGGGGUUAAUUUAGGUGUUUCAUAUAUUGUGUUAGCUAGCUAAUUAAUAGAGAGAAGUGUCCUCUCUUAUGUACGUGCUAGGUCAACGCUACGUACUAUAUAUACAUAAGUGAUCGAGAGAACCAUUGAGUACAGAAGUUCGUCAUGCAUACCGAGAGAAGUGAUCGAUCGACCUCUCCUUCUUCGAGAGAUUGGUCGAACAAAAAGUUUUCGUAUCAUGUAUCCGAUGCUACUGGCUACAUACAUGUACAAUAUGUAUAAGAUCUCUUAAUUACAAACCCCUAGCAAUUGAAAUCAAUUUUCACAUGGUAUUCUUCGGCUUUACUGAUGAUGUGGUCAAGAAAGAAUCCCGCCAAUUCCUCUUGAAUUGCUUUCAUGCGAUCUGGUUCUAGGAGUUCAUUCCGCAUCUGCCACGUCUAAUUUGAAGAAGGGGGUUAAUUAAUACAUAUAUAUGAAUGGAACUCAAUAGAAAUGAUGGUGUAAUAAAAUGAAAUUGUGAAUAUUAUUGCUUACGCACUUCAUAUUGUCUUUUAGAGUAGCCCCGCUUGUUUUUCAAAGUCACGGUGUGGAUGAACUCGCACACGUAGUAUCCACAGAAAUCAUUCCCUUGUUCCUGCCACAAGCACUUUACGAGAAAUAGAGGUCAAUCCAACUGAUAAUGAAGCAUUAUAAAUGGCAUUGAUGAAAGUAUAGCUAUAGAAUCAACGGGAGAUGCGCGCAACUAGCUAGCUAGUAGUACUUACUUUCGGGUAUGUAUAUCGCAGCUCCUUCGGUAGUGUCGGAGCUUCUGCGGUGAACUGUUUCCGAACCCUGCAAGACAAAAAAAAUAAUUAUUAUUACUUGAGAUAUCAGGAAAUGAACAAAAAGUUGCCGAUAUGGUGCGAUAAUGAUCCAUUGAACUUACUUGUUGAGCAAUUCAGUCAUGUCCGCAUAGGUUUCGGGAUCUUUCCGUCUCGAGUCUAAGACGGUUACUAGUCCCCGCUCAAGCUUAAUCUCCAGAAGAACAUAGUGGUACCUGCGCACGCAUGCAUAACUCAUCAAUUACAUUACUAUAACCUCGCUCGAAUAAUAAGGGAAACCGAAUAUGCACACGACAGUAACACUCACUGGCCGUUGUAAGGAAAGAGUAUGGUAUCUUUGUUUUGAUUUUUGAUCAACGAUCGUAGCAAGUUGUCCUCGGCCUCUUUGACGUGCUUUUUAACCAGAAAUUCAUCUAUGAUAUUUGUGUUAAUGAACCCAAUAUCAUAAAUUUCUUGUUUUUUGCACUUGACGAUCUUCAAUCUGCAUAAUAUAUUGAGGAUAAUUAAUUAUAAAUACAUGCAAUGAAAGAGCCGAGCUAUAUAUAGAGACUUAAUGACAGAAAUAGUACUUACAGGCAGUAGCAGAAGACCAUUAAUUUAUCGAGGGACUUUUGAUUGAAGAACGCAAAGAACUCAUCAAAUGGAACACACAACAAAUCAUUUGAAACGAGGUCGUGCUCCUCUUUAAUGUUCAGAUACAAACUAUUCGUCCCCUUAGACUCUCUCCAGGUUUUCAUGUACCAACUAUGGAAUCUUCCCAUCAUUGUUGUCAGAGAUUUUUCAUCUUUGACGAGAGGCUUCCCGUACUCGUAUCUGUGUUCGUCCACCUCCAAGAAAUCAGGAAGUUGAUCGUCAGGCAGGUAAUCUUCAAGAUUGCCAUAACCGGCCACCGUCCCCGGAGCAUUAGACACAUUGAGCGGGGGGCACGAUUGAUGUGCUUGUUCGCCGAGCUGGGCAAUUUUUUUCCCCUUUGCUCGUUCUUUUAACCUUUUAUCACUGACAGUAGUUCCCGACCGUUGGGCUUGGAGAUAUGUCUGUUCAGUAAUGCGCUGAUAGUUGGUUCUUGGCGGAGAAUUUGGUGGUUUCCUCAUGGCAUCGACAGUGCGCUUUGCUUUCACCGGAUCUACCUUCUCCUCCGGAGGUGGAUGUCUCUUUGCUUUCACCCCUUCAAAGAACUCCUUCAUGUGGGUCCACACAAUCGUAUCGUUUUCCUCCUCGGUCCUCUCAUACGGUAACUUCUCUAGAGGCUUGAGAGGUGGACCGUAUUUGUAUUGCCCCCCACCUCUGGUUGUGCUGCUCGACGCCGGAGCAGACGGAGCAGCUGCAGUGUCUGUCUUCUUUCGUGCUUGCUUACGAGGCGGAGGAGAAGGAGUACGACGCGUCGGAGCAGCCGGGGCGGCAGCGGGUCUCUUCCGCCCUUGCUGGCAAGGCGGAGAAGGAGGAGGCUGCUGGCUACUCGGGAGCACCGACGCAGGCGGAGAAGGAGGCGGAGUGCCGCCAUGCGCCGGAGAAGGAGGCGGAGUGCCGCCACGCGUGCCCUGAUCGUCACUCGCCGGAGGAGGAGGCGGUGGAGGAGGCGGAGUGCCCUGACUCGCCGGAGGAGGAGGAGGAGGCGGAGGCGUCCAGUUCGGAAGGUUGAUGAGCUCCUUCCACCAUAGGCAUGAAGUCUUCAGAGCAGAACCCAGCCUAGUCUCCCCUUCACCGGUAGGAUGGCCAAGCAGGAGGUCCUCAAAUCCCUCCGUUAUUUCAUCCACCAUCACCUUAGCAUAUCCUUCUGGAAUCGGCUGGCAGUGAUAAGUUGUGCCGGGUCCACCAGGAUAAACAGAGCCAACAGCCGCCUUGACCUUCAAAUUCAUCCAUCGUGCCAUAAUGUGGCAUGUUGAGACUCCGUGAUAGCAUCCACGGGAUAGCUGGCAGGAGCCGUCAAGACAUGCUCCGGCUAAAGCAUCUCGGUGGAAGCCACGCUGCUUCUCCGCUGAGAUGGCGGGGUAGCUUCGGGGGAAGCUUCGGCAGGUCUAUUGCUGUGAUCUGCUGCUUCUCGUUUCUCUAGCCCCAUUACCCUUUCGUGCAGCGCCUGCAGUUGGCCAUGCUCCAAUUUCUUCCUCCUCUCAUUGGUUUUGUAACCCCCUGCAUCCGGAAAACCAACCUUCCACGGAAUGGAGCCUGGCGUGCCUCGUGUCCGUCCAGGGUGCUCAGGAUUCCCGAGGGCCAUUGUGAGCUCGUCCUUCUCCCUGUCUGGUACAAACGUCCCUUUCUGCGCUGCAUUGAUAUAGUGUCGAAGGUUCUUGACUGGUAGUUCCAGUUGCUCGUUCGUCCAACGGCACAUCCCUGAUACAGGGUCCAAGGUUCCGCCAGCCCCGAAGAACCAAGUCCGGCAACGGUCUGGCCAUCUCAUUGUCUCUGGUUCGAUCCCUUUUUCGAGAAGAUCAUUCUCCUCCUUGGACCACUUAGGACGGGCUUUGAGGUAGCCACCUGACCCCGUGCAAUGGUGAAGCUUCUUCUUCGCAGCAUUUUCCUUGUUCGUUGCCGACAUGUUCUUACUCUUUUCCGAUGUCUUGUGGGCCAAAAAUGCGGGCCAGUGAUCUUUGAUCUUCUCAUAUUUGCCGAUGAAUUCUGGUGUCCUUUUUUUCGACAAAAUGGUUCAACUCUUUCCUCCACCUCCUAAAUAGGGUUGCCAUCUUCUUAAGAGCACAAGACUUGAUUAAUUGCUCUUUAACUGGCUUCUCCGGAUCCUCCUCUGGCGGUAGGGUGAAAUUUGCCAUCAGCUGAGUCCAAAGAUCUUCUUUCUGCAUAUCAUUGACAUAAGACACCUCAGGGUCGUCCUUAGGCUUAUACCAUUGGUGGAUGCUGAUUGGGAUCUUGUCCCUAACAAGAACCCCGCACUGAGCAGAAAAUGCGUUCUUUGUCCAGAUGGGUUCAAUCGGUUCGCCGUUGGGCGCGAUUUCUAUGAUCUGAAACCUUUCAUCCAAGCUCAACUUUUUCUUUGGGCCUCGUCGCCUUACCAAAGUUGUGCUCGAUCCGAAGGGCUAGAAAUUAAAAGGAAGAAAGAUGAGAGUAAUUAAUAUGUGUACAUAUACCAAAACAAUGAAUGCAUCAAUUAACUAGUCAGCACCGGCUUAACUAAUAUAUAUAUAUACCUGGUCGGACUCGGUUCGGUCACCGGAGCAGUCAGCACGGUCUCCUUCUUGUACCUCCAUUGGGUCAUCACCGGAGCCAUCAUGAACAUAGCCCUCUUCUUGUACCGGCAUUAAUGGGCCGGCGCCAUCAUGAACAUGGCCCUCUUCUUCAUCGAGUCCUUCCUCCUGACCAACGACAUCGUUGAAAAAUGACGCAAUGACAUCAGUUCCUUCUGCGAUUAUCUCCCCCAACAUCGCUUCUGUUGCUUCGUCUCGGUAGUGCUCCAUAGUUUCUGCAAAUAUUUACAACAUGUCAUUUAUUAUUCAAACAUGGUACAUAUGGAUAUAUAUUAGUGGCAAACGUAGAACUAGCUAGCUAAUCACAAUAAGGAAUCAUGUUAGUGCCCUCAACGCUGCUUCUCUAGGGUUUGGGAUCGCCUCGACACAACACUUCAAGGGUUUGGGGUGGCCUCGACGACAACGCUCUUUUAACUUGGUAAAUUUCGGUGGCCUCGAGAGUUUUGGUCGAGCGAGAGGGCCAAGGGGGGGGGGGUGCUGCUGUUGUAUAGGGUUAUCACGGUCGAGAGGGGAUAUAUAUAUCGACCGCCCCUCAUGUCGAAGUUAUCUCGAGGGGGCAGCGAGGGCGAAGGCGACAGACCCGAUAAAACAUAAGAAAACGAAGAAGAAAUAAAAAUAGGAGAAGAAGAAAGGAAUAGCGGAGAAGAUCGAAGAAAAAAAAGAAGAAGAAAAAAGAGGAGAAGAAGAAAGGAAUAGAAAAUUCUAUUUUUUCUUCUUCUCCUCUAUUCCUUUCUUCUUCUCCUCUUCCUUUUCUUCUUUUUUGUUCUUCUUAUUUAUUUCUCCUCUAUUCCUUUCUUUCUUCUUCUCCUCUUUUUUUUCUUCUUCUCCCUCGAGAAAGGAAAAUAAUUAAGGAAAAGGAAGAAAAGAGGAAGAAGGAAGAAGGAAGAAGAAGAAGAAAGGAAUAGAGGACAAGAAGAAAAAAUAGAAUUUUUUUCUAUUUUUUCUUCUUCUCCUCUAUUCCUUUCUUCUUCUCCUCUUCUUUUUCUUAUUUUUUCUUCUUCUUAUUUAUUUCUCCUCUUCUUUUCCUCUCCUCUUCUUCUCCUUUUCUUCCUCUUCUUAUUUUCCUUUUUUCCUCUCAUUCUUUUUCUUCUUCUUCUUCCUUCUUCCUUCUUCCUCUUUUCUUCCUUUUCCUUAUUUUACUUUUUCCUCUACACUAACCUAAUCAAAAUGCACUAACCUAAAAUCGAUAUCUACUAACAACCUAAAUAAAAAAUUAAUACAUAUAUGAAAAAACAUAUAUAAACAAAAAAUGCUAUGAACAUUAUAUUCAUACAUAGAUAGCCACAUCCAUUCAUCAUAUAGCUACCACAUACAUAUAUACAUUAAUUAUAUAUAUGAAAAAAAUGCAUUGAACAAAAAAAUACACAUGUAUGUAUGAAAAAAAAGCACUGAACACAGAGCCUCGACGGCGGCGGCUCACAACGGGGGUGGUCGGCGAGGGCGACAGCAGCGGCGGCAAGGGCGUCGGCAACGACCACGGCGGACUGGGGUAGGGGCGUGGCCAGCGAGGGCGACGGCGACGACCACGGCGGGCCGGGGCAGGGGCGUGGCCGACGACGACGGCGACGGUGAUGCCGACGACGNNNNNNNNNNNNNNNNNNNNNNNNNNNNNNNNNNNNNNNNNNNNNNNNNNNNNNNNNNNNNNNNNNNNNNNNNNNNNNNNNNNNNNNNNNNNNNNNNNNNNNNNNNNNNNNNNNNNNNNNNNNNNNNNNNNNNNNNNNNNNNNNNNNNNNNNNNNNNNNNNNNNNNNNNNNNNNNNNNNNNNNNNNNNNNNNNNNNNNNNNNNNNNNNNNNNNNNNNNNNNNNNNNNNNNNNNNNNNNNNNNNNNNNNNNNNNNNNNNNNNNNNNNNNNNNNNNNNNNNNNNNNNNNNNNNNNNNNNNNNNNNNNNNNNNNNNNNNNNNNNNNNNNNNNNNNNNNNNNNNNNNNNNNNNNNNNNNNNNNNNNNNNNNNNNNNNNNNNNNNNNNNNNNNNNNNNNNNNNNNNNNNNNNNNNNNNNNNNNNNNNNNNNNNNNNNNNNNNNNNNNNNNNNNNNNNNNNNNNNNNNNNNNNNNNNNNNNNNNNNNNNNNNNNNNNNNNNNNNNNNNNNNNNCCCCCUUUAGUCCCGGUUGGUGCCACUCGCUAGUUGAGAGGGGUGCGUAGUGGUUUAUAAGCCCCACUGCCGCACCCCUCUCGAGCUCCUCUCCACCGUAGGCUUGCGGGCCUAUUUACUACUGCUUUGCCUGAUGGGCCUUCUGGGCCUACUGCGGGCCUGAAUCCUGGCCCAUGGUAGGGUUUCUAGUCGUAUUCAGGCCGUGGGGGCCCAGUAGGAGGCAUUUUUUUGUUUUUUUUGUUUUCUUUCUUGCUUUAUUUAUUUUAUUUUGUUUCUACUUACAACAAAAUACUUAUUGUUGCUAUUUUUAAUUAUUUUCCAGUUUUUUUGUUUUGUUUUCUGCAUUAUUUAUUUUCUUUUGUUUUUUGCUUUAUUUUUUAAUUCUUUUUGCUUUUAGUUUUAGAAAAAUUAUAAACUUUCUGUUAGUGCCAUUAGUUUUCAAAUUUGAAAACACUUUUUUUNNNNNNNNNNNNNNNNNNNNNNNNNNNNNNNNNNNNNNNNNNNNNNNNNNNNNNNNNNNNNNNNNNNNNNNNNNNNNNNNNNNNNNNNNNNNNNNNNNNNNNNNNNNNNNNNNNNNNNNNNNNNNNNNNNNNNNNNNNNNNNNNNNNNNNNNNNNNNNNNNNNNNNNNNNNNNNNNNNNNNNNNNNNNNNNNNNNNNNNNNNNNNNNNNNNNNNNNNNNNACAACAAAAUACUUAUUGUUGCUAUUUUUAAUUAUUUUCCAGUUUUUUUGUUUUUUUCUGCAUCAUUUAUUUUCUUUUGUUUUUUGCUUUAUUUUUUAAUUCUUUUUGCUUUUAGUUUUAGAAAAAUUAUAAACUUUCUGUUAGUGCCAUUAGUUUUCAAAUUUGAAAACACUUUUUUUGUUUUUUUGUUUUCUUUCUUGCUUUAUUUAUUUUAUUUUGUUUCUACUUCCGCUUCAUGCACAUCCAAGGAGGAAGGUUAUACAUACAUAGAGUCACGGGCCAGGUGCUGUGAUUGCUGCUCUGCUCCCCGAAACGAUUAAUGCCAUCCGCACUUAAAGCAAACCAUAUGUUCCUUGGGUCACUUGCAAACUCAUCCCAGUACUUUCUCUCGAUUUUUCUCCACUUCAACCCGUCAACGGGUGCUCUCAACUUCCCGUCUUUCUUACGGUCCUCACUGUGCCAUCGCAUCAACUUGGCAUGCUCUCCGUUUCUGAACAGAUGUUUCAACCGUGGUAUUAUAGGAGCAUACCACAUCACCUUCGAAGGAACCCUCUUCCCGGGGGGCUCGCCAUCAACAUCACCAGGGUCAUCUCGUCUGAUCUUAUACCGUAAUGCACCGCAUACCGGGCAUGCGUUCAGAUCCUUGUACGCACCGCGGUAGAGGAUGCAGUCAUUAGGGCAUGCAUGUACCUUCUGCACCUCCAAUCCUAGAGGGCGUACGACCUUCUUUGAUGCGUAUGUACUGUCGGGCAAUUUGUUAUCCUUUGGAAGCUUCUUCUUCAAUACUUUCAGUAGCUUCUCAAAUCCUUUGUCAGGCACAGCAUUCUCUGCCUUCCACUGCAGCAAUUCCAGUACGGUACCGAGCUUUGUGUUGCCAUCUUCGCAAUUGGUGUACAACCCUUUUUUGUGGUCCUCUAACAUGCGAUCGAACUUCAGCUUCUUCUUUUGACUUUCGCAUUGCGUCCUUGCAUCAACAAUGACCCGACAGAGAUCAUCAUCAUCGGGCACAUCGUCUGGUUCCUCUUGAUCUUCAGCAGCUUUGCCUGUUGCAGCAUCAUCGUGCACAUCGUCUGGUUCCUCUUGACCUUCAGUAGCAUCACCGUAUUCAGGAGGCACAUAGUUGUCAUCAUACUCUUCUUCUUCGCCAUCUUCCAUCAUAACCCCUAUUUCUCCGUGCCUCAUCCAAACAUUAUAGUGUGGCAUGAAACCCUUGUGAAGCAGGUGGGUGUGAAGGAUUUUCCGUUCAGAGUAAGACUUCGUAUUCCCACAUAUAGGGCAUGGACAACACAUAAAACCAUUCUGCUUGUUUGCCUCAGCCACUUCGAGAAAUUCAUGCACGCCCUUAAUGUACUCGGAGGUGUGUCUUGAACCGUACAUCCAUUGCCGGUUCAUCUGCGUGCAUUAUAUAUAAUUAAGUGUGUCAAAAAUCAUUACAGAACAUCAUGAAUAGAUAAUUAAGUGACCAAAUUAAUAGAAGUUCAUCAUCACAUUAAAACCAAAGUACAUACAUAGUUCUCAUCUAACAACAUAAAGCUCUGCAGAGCAUCUAAAUUAGUUAAACCAUACAUUGAAACUAUGUAAAACAUUUCAAUGCGAAAACAAAUGCGAUCAUAAUUGUAACCAAUGUAACAACUGAUCCAACGUCAUAAUGAUACCAAGCCUCGGUAUGAAUGGCAUAUUUUCUAAUCUUUCUAAUCUUCAAGCGCAUUGCAUCCAUCUUGAUCUUGUGAUCAUCCACGACAUCCGCAACAUGCAACUCCAAUAUCAUCUUCCCCUCCUUAAUUUUUCUAAUUUUUUCCUUCAACAAAUUGUUUUCUUCUUUAACUAAAUUUAACCUCUCGACAAUAGGGUCGGUUGGAAUUUCCGGUUCAACAACCUCCUAGAUAAAUAAAAUCUAUGUCACGUUGGUCGGCAUAAUUGUCAUAAACAAUAGAUGGACCAAUAGUUAUGAGAAGAUAAUAUAUACCACAUCCGAAUCAUAGACAGGACGAGGGCCGACGGGGGCGGAUACCAAAACCAUCGCACUAUAUAAGAUGCAAUAAUAAAAGUAAGAAAAUUAUACAAGUAUCUAUAUAUAUAAACAUACAAGUAAGAAUUUUUUUCCUUUCAGAAAGAAGAUAAGAACAAGAGGCUCACCACGAUGGUGCCGGCGACGAGAUCGACGCGGGCGAUCGAUGAUGGUGAAGACGGGGACGGGACGUGGCGGACCACUAAACCUAGACAAAUAUUGAGGAAAAUGGAGCUUGGAGGUCGAGCUUGGAGAGGAGAAAGCUUAAGUAGUGUGGCUCGAGCAUUCCAUCAAACACCUCGUGUGCAUAGGAGGUGAGCUAGAGCACCACAAAGCUCUCUCCUCGCCGGCCACGAAAAACAGAGCACUGAGAGUGCUCUGCUCGCGGGCGUAUAUAUAGGCAAUUAAUUGGUCCCGGUUCGUGGCUUGAACCGGGACUAAAGGGAAGCCUUUGGUCCCGGUUCAGGCCACCAAUCGGGACCAAUGGUGGUGGGCCAGGACCAAGGCAGAUUGGUCCCGGUUCGUCCCACCAACCGGGACCAAAAGGUCCAGAUGAACCGGGACCAAUGGCCCACGUGGCCCGGCCGGCCCCCGGAGCUCACGAACCGGGUCCAAUGCCCCCAUUGGUCCCGGUUCUGGAUUGAACCGGGACUGAUGGGCUGACCCGGCCUGGACAAAUACCCCCUUUUCUACUAGUGUAUUGUGAUGACUUGUAUGCUAUUAAGAAUAAUGAUAACCAUGAAACUUAUCAUCAUGAUUUUAGUUUUCAAUUGGAUUAUGCCUCACAUGAUAAUUAUAUUGUUGAGUUUGCUCCUACUAUUAUUCAUUAGAAGAAUUUUGCUUUUGUGGAGAGUAGUAAAUUUUCUAUGCUUGUAGACCAUGAAAAGAAUGCUUUAUGUGCUUGUUAUAUUGUUGAAUUUAUUCAUGAUGCUACUGAAAAUAAUUAUGAGGGAGGAAUAUAUGCUUGUAGGAAUUGCAAUAAUGUCAAGUUUCCUCUCUAUGUGUUGAAAAUCUUGAAGCUAUGCUUGUUUUACCUUCCUAUGCUAGUUGACUAUUGUUCCCAUAAGGUGUUUGCUCACAAAAUCCCUAUGCAUAGGAAGUGGGUUAGGCUUAAAUGUGCUAGUCAUAUGCUUCAUGAUGCUCCCGUUAUGUUUCAAUUCUUAUCUUUUAUGUGAGCAUCAUUGUCAUCAUCAUGCCUAGCUAGAAAGGCAUUAAAGAAAAGCGCUUGUUGGGAGACAACCCAAUAUUUAUCCUUACUGUUUUUGUGUGUUCACAUGAUUAUGCUACUGUAGUAAUCAUGUUUUAUAGCUUUUGUUUCAAUAAAGUGCCAAGUAAGACCUUUAGGAUAGCUUACGGUGAUAGUUGUGUUGAUCCUGCUGAGAAUUAGAAACUUUUGCACCCAGUAAAUUAGUUUUGUUAAUUCACAGAAACGUGCUUAUGAUCUGAUUCUUUUUUCUCUGGAUUGGUACACAAAUUGCUUAGGUCUUCCUAAUUUGGUAGGAUUUUUGGAGUUAUAGAAGUAUACGUUUGAUACAAAUUACUACAGACUGUUCUGUUUUUGACAGAUUCUGUUUUCUAUGUGUUGUUUGCUUAUUUUGAUGAAUCUAUGAGUAGUAUCGGAGGAUAUGAACCAUAGAGAAGUUAGAAUACAGUAGAUAUUACAUCAAUAUGAAUUUAUAAUGAGUUAAUUACAGUACCUAAGUGGUGGUUUUAUUUUCUUAUACUAACGGAGCUUACGAGUUUUCUGUUGAGUUUUGUGUUGUGAAGUUUUCAAGUUUCGGGUCAAGAUUCGAUGGACUAUGGAAUAAGGAGUGGCAAGAGACUAAGCUUGGGGAUGCCCAAGGCACGUCAAGGCAAUAUUCAAGGACAACCAAGAGCCUAAGCUUGGGGAUGCCCCGUAUGGCAUCCCCUCUUUCGUCUUUGUUCAUCGGUAACUUUACUUGGAGCUAUAUUUUUAUUCGCCACAUGAUAUGUGUUUUGCUUGGAGCGUCAUUUUCUUUUGUUAGUAUUUGCUUUCUGUUCUUUAGAAUAAUGUUUUGCAUCUUUAUUUUCAAUAAAAAUGUCAAGGAUAUCCUUUACCAUGCUUAUUUUGCUAGUAUACAUGUUGCUGUUUGAAAACAGAAAGUUUAACGCUGUUGAAAAAAUUACCUAGAAAAGUCAGAGAAUGGUAUAAUGUUGAAAUUUUUUUCAUAUUGAGCUAUGAUUAAUCUUAUACAGUGUAGUAAUUUUCUCAUAAUUUUUGGAGUUAGGGAAGUAAGAUGAAUCUUGCAUUGUUUACAAACUAUACUGUUUUGGCAGAUUGCUGUUAUGUUUGCAUUGUUUGCAUAUGUUUGCUUGUUUAAUGACUCUAUUUGAGGAUAGGAGUAUUAAAUAUGCAGAGGCAUUUACUAUGCAAUCUUGGAUAAUAAUUUUAGUGAUUUGUUACAAUAGAAAAUGAUAAGGUUUUGCAUUGGUUUAUUCUAACCUAUCUCACGAGUUUUUGUUGAGUUUGGUGUGGAUGAAGCUUUUGAUAAAAAGGGAAACCAUGAUAUGAGAGGAAUUAAAGAGACACAAAAGCUCAAGCUUGGGGAUGCCCAAGGCACCCCAAGAUAAUAUUUCAAGAAGUCUCAAGCAUCUAAGCUUGGGGAUGCCCCAGUAGGCAUCCCACCUUUCUUCUUCAACCACUAUCGGUUAGUAUGGGUUGAGCCUAAGUUUUUGCUUCUUCACAUGAGUUGUGCUAUCCUUGCAAUAUCAUUUUGUCUUGCUUUGCUUGCUGUUUGAAUAAAAUACCAAGAUCUUAAAUUCUUAAAUGAGAGAGAGUCUUCACAUGAGCUACAUAAUUAUUUAGCUACUCAUUGAUCUUCGCUUAUAUCUUGUUGGAGGAGUUAGUCAUUUACUCGUGUGCUUCACUUACAUCCUUUGAGUAAAUUGUUGAAUGAGUUGAAUGUCAUAAAUCAGAAAUUAUGCAUGCCUCAUUUGCUUAUCCCAUGGGGAGUAAUGACUUCACAUCUAAGAAGUAGAGGUUGUAAAUUCAAUGAAGGUUAGCAAGCAUUGUAUUGGUCAUUUGAACAACUCAUGAAAGAAUAUUGAAGGAAGAGAGAUUUCAGAUAUAAAUAUACUAUCCUAGACAUCUUUUAUAAUUGUGAGCAGUCAUUAAGUAUGACAUGCUAAAGAGUUGAUGUUGGACAAGGAAGACAACGUAAUGGGUUAUGUUUUCUCACAUCUCAGUUAAAAUAUAUUGUAUUGGGUCAUUCAAACAUGUUAAGCUUGCCUUUCCUCCUCAUGCUAGCCAAAAUUCCUUGCACCAAGUAGAGAUACUACUUGUGCUUCCAAAUAUCCUUAAACCCAGUUUUGCCAUGAGAGUCCACCAUACCUACCUAUGGAUUGAGUAAGAUCCUUCAAGUAAGUUGUCAUCGGUGCAAGCAAUAAAAAAUGCUCUCUAAAUAUGUAUGAUCUAUUAGUGUGAAGAAAAUAAGCUUUAUAAGAUCUUGUUAUGGAAGUAAUAAAAGUGACGGACUGCAAAAUAAAGGUCCAUAUACAAGUGGCAAUAUAAAGUGACAUUCUUUCGCAUUAAUAUUUUGUGCAGCCAACCCUAAAAGUGCACGACAACCUCUGCUUCCCUCUGCGAAAGGGCCUAUCUUUUACUUUAUGUCUUUUACUUUAUGCAAGAGUCAAGGUGAUCUUCACCUUUCCCUUUUUCAUUUUAUCCUUUGGCAAGCACCUCGAGUAGGAAAGAUCCUGAUAUAAACAUCCAAUUGGAUGUAAGUUAGCAUGAACUAUUAUUGUUGACAUCACCCAAAGGUGAAUAUGUUGGGAGGCAACAUUAUAAGCCCCUAUCUUUCUUAGUGUCCGAUUAAAGUCCAUAACCAUUAGUAUUGUGUGAGUGUUAGCAAUUGUGGAAGACUAUAUGAUAGUUGAGUAUGUGAAGUUUGCUAAAUCAAAGCUCUGACAUAGACCCUUCCUGAAAUAAGAUGAAUUGCAAUUGUUUGAUGACUGAGAACAUAGUUUGCUAGUUUUCAAGAAAGUUUAUGGUCUAUGCUUUAACAUGUGAAUUGCUCGUUAAUUGUUCGUGAGAAGUUUUAUGAGAUGAACUACUGUUAUGACAUAUAAUCAUGCUAGAAAAGGUGAUUGAAAUUAUCAUUGAUCAAACUUGUGCACCUUCUAGCAUUCACACUUCAUAAAAUCUUUCUUUUAUCAUUUACCUACUCGAGGACGAGUAGGAAUUAAGCUUGGGGAUGCUGAUACGUCUCCAACGUAUCUACAAUUUAUGAAGCAUUCAUGCUAUUUUAUUAUCUGCUUUGAAUGAUUACGGGCUUUAUUAUACACUUUUAUAUUACUUUUUGGACUAACCUACUAACCGGAGGCCCAGCCUAUAUUGCUGUUUUAUUGCCUGUUUCAGUAUUUCGAAGAAAAGGAAUAUCAAACGGAGUCCAAACGGAAUGAAACCUUCGGGAGCGUGAUUUUCGGAAAGGAUAUGAUCCGGGAGACUUGGAGUUCAAGCCAGGGAAGGUUCGAGGAAGCUAGGAGAUAGGAGGGCGCGCCCACCCCUCCUGGGCGCGCCCCCUGUCUCCUGGGCCCCUCGAGGCUCCCCCGACCGACUUCUUUCGCCUAUAUAAGUCCACGUACCCUAAAAACAUCGAAGACGAAGAUAGAUUGGGAGUUCCGCCGCCGCAAGCCUCUGUAGCCACCAAAAACCUCUCGGGAGCCCGUUCCGGCACCCUGCCGGAGGGGGGAUCCCUCACCGGUGGCCAUCUUCAUCAUCCCGAUGCUAUCCAUGACAAGGAGGGAGUAGUUCACCCUUGGGGCAGAGGGUAUGUACUAGUAGCUAUGUGUUUGCUCUCUCUCUCUCUCUCGUGUUCUCUCUAUGCCACAAUCUUGAUGUAUCGCGAGCUUUGCUAUUAUAAUUGGAUCUUAUGAUGUUUCUCCCCCCUCUACUCUCUUGUGAUGAAUUGAGUUUUCCCUUUGAAGUUAUCUUGUCGGAUUGAGUCUUUAAGGAUUUGAGAACACUUUAUGUAUGUCUUGCCAUGCUUAUCUGUGGUGACAAUGGGAUAUUACGUGCCACUUGAUGUAUGUUUUGGUGAUCAACUUGCGGGUUCCGCCCAUGAACCUAUGCAUAGGGGUUGGCACACAUUUUCGUCUUGACUCUCCUGUAGAAACUUUGGGGCACUCUUUGAAGUACUUUGUGUUGGUUGAAUAGAUGAAUCUGAGAUUGUGUGAUGCAUAUCGUAUAAUCAUGCCCACGGAUACUUGAGGUGACAAUGGAGUAUCCAGGUGAUAUUAGGGUUUUGGUUGAUUUGUGUCUUAAGGUGUUAUUCUAGUACGAGCUCUUGAAUAGAUCGAUCCGAAAGAAUAACUUUGAGGUGGUUUCGUACCCUACCAUAAUUUCUUCGUUCGUUCUCCGCUAUUAGUGGCUUUGGAGUGACUCUUUGUUGCAUGUUGAGGGAUUGUUAUAUGAUCUAUCUAUGUUGUUAUUGUUGAGAGAACUUGCACUAGUGAAAGUAUGAACCCUAUGUCUUGUUUCCUAGCGUUGCAAUACCGUUUACGCUCACUUUUAUCAUUAGUUACCUUACUGUUUUUAUAUUUUCAGAUUACAAAAACCUAUAUCUACUAUCCAUAUUGCACUUGUAUCACCAUCUCUUCGCCGAACUAGUGCACCUAUACAAUUUACCACUGUAUUGGGUGUGUUGGGGACACAAGAGACUCUUUGUUAUUUGGUUGCAGGGUUGUUUGAGAGAGACCAUCUUCAUCCUACGCCUCCUACGGAUUGAUAAACCUUAGGUCAUCCACUUGAGGGAAAUUUGUUACUGUCCUACAAACUUGUGCACUUGCAGGCCCAACAACGUCUACAAGAAGAAGGUUGUGUAGUAGACAUCAAUGGACGUGUGUCCAAAGCGGGUUUCUCGGUUUCCACACGGGUUUGAUGAAGGCGUUUGAAUGCGGCAAGGAGGCGUGUUCAGCCAGGCGUGCAACGAGUGGCACCCUCGACUCUGACGUACGACACCAUGCCAUUCUUCCACUCACGUGUGGGCUCUUUGGGUACAUGGGUUGCAUGUCAGUGACCCAACGCAGGCAGCGCACGACAGAGGAACUUUCGGUGGGCCAGGGCGAUCAGAAGCGGGCAUUUUAUAAACCAAUGAUUGUUCAUUGAGUAUGAUGUCAUCUAUUUCAUGUAGAUAAGCCUACUAUAUAAUGUACUAGGAGAACUAGCCGGUACACCCGCGCAUUCGCGUGGCUAGGAUUAGAUAUAUAUGUUCAAUUGUCUGAACUUCAUAUUGUUAUGUAUUUAGCAUUUCCUUCAUUUUUGUAGCUUCUUACGGAUGUAUUUACUUUUUUUUUUAGUUUAUUCAGUGUAUUUAAUUUUAGAUAUUUGAACAUUUAAUGUUGGUAACUUCAUAUUAUUUUGUAUUGAGCAACUCCACAUUUAUUUUUAUAGCUUCAUCGUAUGGUCAUAUUUCUUUUUGAUUUUCUCCAUCUAUUAUACGUUUUAACAAAUCUUAUACCAGAUAUACCCACUGUUAUAAUUUCAGGAGAAAAAAAUUAAAAUCCUCAAUUUCUUGUCACCCAUUCCUCACAAGUGUGAACCGGAUUAAUAUUUUUGUAGUAGGACAUGAUGUUUUCCCAGCUUUGGGCAGCCCACGUUUUUCUUAUGGGUAUGUGCAGCCCACGUAUGAAGCCUAGUUAGUAGUAUAGGCCAAGAGGACGUGAUGUAGGCCCAUUUUGAUACAUAUGAUUUCUCUCAAAGUAGAACACUGGUGCAUGCUGCAUACAUUAUACUAUCUUUUACCGUCUAAAAAAGCAUAAUCUUCAGAAUGCAUAUAAUAGUCACAUCUUAAUCUUUAAUCGAGAAACAUGGAGGUAACAAACUCUUAUAAGUGUGGAUAAAACUACAAUAUAUCAGAAAAUUCGUUUCUGAUCCUGGCCACAGCUGAGGCCGGAAUCUCAGCCUUUGGUCGUUUUGCCGAUGCACGUGUAUUUCUGUAUUCCUGAGCGUAUGCGGUUCCAGUUUUUCACUAUGCAUUUAAUGAUGGGCCCUGCGCAUUGAAUAAUGCUCAACGGCCACGCCGUAGUGGAACGGGUUAAGCGUGGAUUGAUCAGUAUUUUUCCUGAGCCUGCCCGUCCCAGUGCUCUCACGGACGCAGCAAACGGCCACCCUGUUGGUUUGUGGAUAAGUACGGCCCUCUCCACAGCUCCCACUCCUCCCAUCCGUUCCCUUUCGUUUCCAAACAUAGAAGGCACUAACACAGCAACCAAACAUGACGAUCCAAACGUACGCGUGAUUUAUCCACUUUUCGUCCUUUUAGGUUGGUGAGGCAAACAGGCGCGUCCGCUCUUUGAUUUGGGUUGGCAGGUGCGGCCAAUGGAAGGCAGAGCCAUAUUUGCCCGCGUGCAAAGAAAAAAAUUAUAUGAUAAAUAUGUGACCGAAAUUAAACACAAUAACACAUAAUUAAACAUAAAUGACCGGUCAAGCGCCGGUCAAAGUCCACUUACACAUCAGUUAAACAAUAAAAAAAUCCAGGCCACACGCUGCCCUAGGCGUCUGCCUUAUCCUUGUCCUUGCCGUCGUUGUCGCCCCCGGUGAGGUCGAUGAUGACGGGAGGCAGACCAGCCCACCCGAACGCGGCUUGACAGGCCGCCAGGGUUGCCUCCUUCGGCGUCUGCGGCGGGGGCAUAGUGGUGAGGCAGGUGCGCUCCUCCUCCUCCUCCUCAAGGCGCAGCGCCUCCUCGUCUCGGCGCAGCUCCUGCUCCCGAUGCAUCUGCUGCUCACCGUCAGCCGCCUCCUCGGCGAGCCAAUGCGUCUUCCAACGCUCUAGGUGGGCCACUUCCACCUCUAGCGUCGUGGCAUAGUGGACGGGAGGUUGAUAACCCACAAGUAUAGGGGAUCGCAACAGCUUUCGAGGGUAAAGUAUUCAACUCAAAUUUAUUGAUUCGACACAAGGGGAGCCAAAGAAUAUUCUUAAGUAUUAGCAAUUGAGUUGUCAGUUCAACCACACCUGGAUAACUUAAUAUCUGCAGCAAAGUAUUUAGUAGCAAAGUAGUAUGAUAAUAAAGGUAACGGUGGCAAAAGUAAAGAUAAAUGUUUUUGGGUUUUUAUAGUAGUUGUAACAGUAGCAACGGAAAAGUAAAUAAGCGAAGAACAAUAUAUGAAAAGCUUGUAGGCAAUGGAUCAGUGAUGGAUAAUUAUGUCGGAUGCGAUUCCUCAUGCAAUAGUUAUAACAUAGGGUGAUAUAGAACUAGCUCCAAUUCAUCAAUGUAAUGUAGGCAUAUGUUCCGUAAAUAGUCAUACAUGCUUAUGGAAAAGAACUUGCAUGACAUCUUUUGUCCUACCCUCCCGUGGAAGCGGGGUCCUAGUGGAAACUAAGGGAUAUUAAGGCCUCCUUUUAAUAGAGAACCGGACCAAAGCAUUAACACAUAGUGAAUACAUGAACUCCUCAAACUACGGUCAUCACCGAGAAGUGUCCCGAUUAUUGUCACUUCGGGGUUGUUGGAUCAUAACACAUACUAGGUGACUAUAGACUUGCAAGAUAGGAUCAAGAACACACAUAUAUUCAUGAAAACAUAAUAGGUUCAGAUCUGAAAUCAUGGCACUCGGGCCCUAGUGACAAGCAUUAAGCAUUGCAAAGUCAUAGCAACAUUAAUCUCAAAACAUAGUGGAUACUAGGGAUCAAACCCUAACAAAACUAACUUGAUUACAUGGUAAAUCUCAUCCAACCCAUCACCGUCCAGCAAGCCUACGAUGGAAUUACUCACACACGGCGGUGAGCAUCCUGAAAUUGGUGAUGGAGGAUGGUUGAUGAUGACGACGGCGACGAAUCCCCCUCUCCGGAGCCCCGAACGGACUCCAGAUCACCCCUCCCGAGAGAGAUUAGGGCUUGGCGGCGGCUCUGUGUUGUGAAACGCGAUGAAACUUUCUCCUUGAUUUUUUUCUCCCUGAACGUGAAUAUAUGGAGUUGGAGUUGACGUUGGUGGAGGUCCAAGGGGCCCACGAGAUAGGAGGCCGCGCCCUAUGGGGGGGGCCUGUCUCGUGGACAGGCUGUGGGCCCCCUGGCAUUAAUUCUUUCGCCAAAAAAUCUUAUUAAUUCCAAAAAGUGCCUCCGUGGAUUUCCAGGACAUUCCGAGAACUUUUCUUUUCUACACAUAAAACAACAUCAUGGUAGUUCUGCUGAAAACAGCAUCAGUCCGGGUUAGUUUCAUUCAAAUCAUGCAAGUUAGAGUCCAAAACAAGGGAAAAAGUGUUUGGAAAAGUAGAUAUGUUGGAGACGUAUCAACUCCCCCAAGCUUAAACCUUUGCUUGUCCUCAAGUACUUCAGUUGAUAAACUGAAAGUGAUAAAGAAAAACUUUUACAAACUCUGUUUGCUCUUGUUGUUGUAACAUGAAAAGCCAGCAUUCAAGUUUCAGCAAAUAUUAUAAACUAACCAUACUCACAAUAACACAUAGGUCUCACAAUUGCUCAUAUCAAUAGCAUAAUCAGCUAGCGAGCCAUAAUAAUAAAACUCGGAUGACAACACUUUCUCAUAAUAAUCAUAACAUAAUAUAAUAAAAUGGUAUCUCGCUAGCCCUUUCUGAGACCGCAAAACAUAAAUGCAGAUCACCUUUAAAGAUCAAGGACUGACUAAACAUUGUAAUUCAUGGUAAAAGAGAUCCACUCAAGUCAUACCCAAUAUAAACCAAUAAUAAUGAAUGCAAAUGACAGUGUGCUCUCCAACGGGUGCUUUUUGAUAAGAAGGAUGAUGACUCAUCAUAAAAGUAAAUAGACAGGCCCUUCGCAGAGGGAAGCAGGGAUUCGUAGAGGUGCCAGAGCUCGAUUUUAAAAUAGAGAUUAAAUAACAUUUUGAGCGGCAUACUUUCACUGUCAACGCAACAACUAUGAGAUGGCUGUAUCUUCCAUACUACAUGCAUUACAGGCAGUUCCCAAACAGAAUGCUAAAGGUUUAUACUCCCCCAACCACCAACAAGCAUCAAUCCAUGGCUUGCUCGAAACAACGAGUGCUUCCAACAUACAACAGCCCUGGGGGAGUUUUGUUUAAUUAUUUUGAUUUGCUUUGAUCUUUUUGGAUCAUGGGACUGGGCAUCCCGGUUACCGGCCCUUUCUCGUGAAUGAGGAGCGGAGUCCACUCCUCGUGAGAAUAACCCACCUACCAUGGAAGAUAUAGGCAACCCUAGUUGUAACAUGAGCUGCUCGAGCAUACAAAACAGAAUUUCAUUUGAAGGUUUGGAGUUUAGCACAUACAAAUUUACUAGGAACGACAGGUAGAUACCGCAUAUAGGUAGGUAUAGUGGACUCAUAUGGAACAACUUUGGGGUUUAAGGAGUUUGGAUGCACAAGCAGUAUUCCCACUUAGUACAGGUGAAGGCUAGCAAAAGACUGGGAAGCGACCAACUGAGAGAGUGACAACAGUCGUAAGCAUGCAUUAAAAUUAAUUCACACCGAGUACAAGCAUGAGUAGGACAUAAUCCACCAUGAACAUAAAUAUCGUGAAGGCUAUGUUGAUUUGAUUCAACUACAUGCGUGAACAUGUGCCAAGUCGAGUCACUUAAUACAUUCAAAGGAGGAUACCAUCCCAUCAUACCACAUCAUAAUCAUUCUAAUAGCAUGUUGACACGCAAGGUAAACCAUUAUAACUCAUAGCUAAUCAAACAUGGCACAAGCAACUAUAAUCUCUAAAUGUCAUUGCAAAUAUGUUUACUUCAUAAUAGCUGACUCAGGAACGAUGAAUCAUCAUAUUUACAAAAACAAGAGAGGUUGAGUUCAUACCAACUUUUCUCAUCCCAAUAAGUCCAUCAUAUAUCGUCAUUAUUUCCUUUCACUUGCACGACCGAAUGAUGGGUAUAAUAAUAAGAGUGCACGUGCAUUGGACUAAGCUGGAAUCUGCAAGCAUUCAACUCAAGAGAGAAGACAAGUAAUAUGGGCUCUAAGUUAAAUAGACAAUCAUGCAUAUAAGAGGCACUAAGCAUUUUCAAUAUGGUCUUCUCGACCCCUAAAGAAAAGAAAAUAAAACUAUUUACACGGGAAAGCUCCCAACAAGUAAGAAGAAGAACUAGAAAUCUUUUUGGGUUUUCAUUUUAAUUCUACUGCAAGCAUAUAAUUUAAACUAACUAUAUUUUUGGUUUUUUCUUAAGUUUCAUCAAACACACAAGAAGAAAACGAGAAAAAGAAAUUUAAACUAGGAUGGAUAAUACAAUGAAAGAGUAUGAGCACCGACGACUAGUGUGUGAACAUGAAUGUAAAGUCGGUGAGAAAUACGUACUCCCCCAAGCUUAGGCUUUUGGCCUAAGUUGGUCUAAUACAAAGGACCGCCACUACUCUCCCCGGUGUAAUGAGAGGUGUAAUCAGGAUACCACUGGCUGGUCAUCUCCGGAUCCCACUGGAUAUAUGAUGCACGAUAAGGGUCCAGUUCAGGUUCCGGCUCAGGUUCAGGUUCUGGAGUGAAAGCUUGGGCUAGAUGGUUGUUCACCGCUUCCGGCGUGACAAGAGGAUUUUCUGCAAGCAAAUCAAACAACAGAGGCGCAGGCAAAAUAAUAAUCUCAAUGUGUUUCUUAUUAAAUCUAAGUUUAUACAAAAGCAUUUUUUCUUCGUUGUCAACAAUAAACUUGUGUGCUACCAUGCUCUUGUAAUCUAAAAUGUGAGGAGGCAAUUUUAUCUCCUCCUCCUCAUGAUGCCUAGUGGGUAUUUGAAAAUGUUUAGCAAGACGUGCAGCAUAGAUAUCUCCAAAUAUGGGACCUUUUGUACGAUUCAGGGCUAGUCGUUUAGCAACGACGGCACCCAUACUAAAAGUAUUGUCCCCAAGCAAAGCAUGUUGAAGAAUGACAAUAUCAGGAACGCUCAAAUUCCCACUAUUUCCACGACCAAUCAAGCAUCUACUAGCAAAUAUAGCAAAAUAGCGUAAAAUAGGAAAGUGUAUGCUAGAGACCUUCGCCUCGGCGCCCUUCUUUGGCUCCUCUACAGCUAUGGUGUUAACAAAGCCACCCACAUCAUCACGAUGGGGUUCAUCUAAUUCUCCCUCAUAAGGUAUCCUACAUACCGCGUAAAACUGACGUAAAGACAUUUCUUUGAAUUCAUCAUAUAAAUGAAAUGAUACUGCAGGCGGUGAUUUCUUAGGAUAAUAAUAAAAGUUUUGCACGAAAGUAUUGUUAAGUAAGAGAUACUGAUCGAUUCGGUCGUUGAUGAAACCGGUGAGGCCUGCAGUCUCGAUUAAAGCAUAAAAGUCUUCAUGAAUUCCGGCUUCUUUCAAGAAAUCCUCGCAUGGCCAUUCACACGACCGUACUUCCGCUAAGUGAGGAAUAUUAUACUUGGCCUUUUCCUUCUCUUUGGCUUGUUUUUCCUGAGAGCUUUGGCUAGAAGAGCCUUUAAAGAGCCUCCUUAACAUUUUCUGAAAAUUUUCUGAAAUUUUAGUAACUUGAAAAUAAAAGUGAAUAAAACUAAACAAGAUUGGUAGCAACUGCUCCUACAAGUUCCUAGAGCCUAUAUCAUGCAUUGGAAUUGCUUGGGACCUCAAAAAUUUAACAUGCAAGCUCAAGAACAUGGUCACCUAAGCAGCAAAAAUUUGCAAUGAAUAAAGCACUAGAACAAAAACUAAUUGGACCAAUGGAGGAGUCACAUACCAAGCAACAAUCUCCUAAAGCAGUUUUGUGAAUGGAGCUUUGAGCUAAGAGAUCAAAAAUCACAGCAAAAUGAGCUAGAACUCGUGCUUGAGCUGGAUGGGGAUUUUUUUGGGUAGAAGAUGAAGUGUGUGAGUGCUGGCAUAAGUGGAGGGGAGCCACCAGGGGCCCACGAGACAGGGGGCGUGCCCUCCUCUCUCGUGGCCUGGUGCUUGCCCCUCCUGCAGUGUUUUCAGUGCCUAAAAUCCUCAAAUAUUCCAGAAAAAAUCAUACUAAAUUUGCAGGGCAUUUGGAGCACUUUUAUUUUCGGACUAUUUUUUUAAUGCACAGAUAAAUUAGAAAGUAGACAGAUAAUACUAUUUUUGCUUUAUUUAUUCUAAAUAACAGAAAGUAAAAAAGAGGGUCCAGAAGGUUGUGCCUUCUAGUUGCAUCCAUCUCGUGAUCAUCAAAAUGAACCCGCUAACAAGGUUGAUCAAGUCUUGUUAACAAACUCAUUCCGAAUAACACGGAACCGGAGAAAUUUCGAAUAAUACUAAGUUACCUCAACGGGGAUAUGAAAAUCCCUCCUACAUCUUGAGCUUGCGUUGGUUUUCCUCGAAGAGGAGAGGGUGAUGCAGCAAGUGUAGCGUAAGUAUUUCCCUCAGUUUUGAGAACCAAGGUAUCAAUCCAGUAGGAGGCUCCUCAAAAGUCCCACGCACCUACACAAACAAACUGAGAACUUGCAACCAACGCAAUAAAGGGGUUGUCAAUCUAUUCAUGGCCACUUGCAAAAGUGAGAUCUAAUAAAGAUAUUAUGCCAAGAUAAAUAUAUUUUUGGUAUUUUAUAAUAUAGAUGCAAAAAGUAAAGAUGCAAAUAAAAGUAGAUGGAAAGCAAAUAUGAUAAAAGAUAGACCCGGGGGCCAUAGGUUUCACUAGAGGCUUCUCUCGAGAUAGCAUAAGUAUUAUGGUGGGUGGACAAAUUACUGUCGAGCAAUUGAUAGAAAAGUGCAUAGUUAUGAGAUUAUCUAGGCAUGAUCAUGUAUAUAGGCAUCACGUCCAUAACAAGUAGACCGACUCCUACCUACAUCUACUACUAUUACUCCACACAUCGACCGACUCCUGCCUGCAUCUAGAGUAUUAAGUUCAUAAGAACAGAGUAACGCAUUAAGCAAGAUGACAUGAUGUAGAGCGAUAAACUCAAGCAAUAUGAUAUAAACCCCAUCUUAUUAUCCUCGAUGGCAACAAUACAAUACGUGCCUUGCAACCCUUUCUAUCACUGGGUAAGGACACCGCAAGAUUGAACCCAAAGCUAAGAACUUCUCCCAUGGCAAGAAAGACCAAUCUAGUAGGCCAAACCAAACUGAUAAUACGAGGAGACUUGCAAAGAUAUCUCAAUCAUACACAAAAGAAUUCAGAGAAGAUUCAAAUAUUAUUCAUAGAUAAACUUGAUCAAAAAACCCACAAUUCAUCGGAUCUCGACAAACACACCGCAAAAAGAGUUUAUAUCGAAUAGAUCUCCACAAGAGAGGGGAAGAAAAUUGUAUUGAGAUCAAAAAAGAGAGAAGAAGCCAUCUAGAUAAUAACUAUGGACCCAUAGGUCCGUGGUAAACUACUCACAACUCAUCGGAGGGGCAAGGAUGUUGAUGUAGAAGCCCUCCAUGGUCGAUUCCCCCUCCGGCAGAGUGCCGGUGAAGGCUCCGAGAUGAGAUCUCACGGAUACAUAAGGUUACGGUGGUGGAAAUUGUGUUUCGUGGUGCUCCUGGAUGUUUUCGGGGUACGUAGGUAUAUAUAGGAGGAAGAAGUACGUCGGUGGCCGCCCGAGGGGCCCACGAGACAGGGGGCGCGCCCUACAGGGGGGGCGGCCUCCUAUCUCGUGGCUUCCUCGGCAGCUUCUUGACUUGCACUCCAAGCUCUUCGGAUCACGUUCGUUCCAAAAAUCACACUCCCGAAGGUUUCAUUCUGUUUGGACUCCGUUUGAUAUUCCUUUUCUUUGAAAUACUGAAAUAGGCAAAAAACAACAAUAUGGGCUGGGCCUCCGGUUAGUAGGUUAGUCCCAAAAAUGAUAUAAAUGUGUAAAAUAAAGCCCAUAAACAUCCAAAAGGGGUAAUAUAAUAGCAUGGAACAAUCAAAAAUUAUAGAUACGUUGGAGACGUAUCAAUCCCCAACAAUAAGAAUAUCAUAUUUUUUCUUGUCAGUAGGAAGAGGAAAUUCAAAACCUCCAAAAAUGAUAGUUGGAAAUUUUUCAAUAGAAUUGAUGCUAUGAACUUGAGAUUGUUUCCUCGGAAAGUGUAUCGUAUGCUCAUUACCAUUGACAUGAAAAGUGACAUUGCCUUUGUUGCAAUCAAUAACAGCCCCUACAGUAUUAAGAAAAGGUCUACCAAGGAUAAUAGACAUACUAUUGUCUCGGGAAUAUCAAGAAUAACAAAGUCUGUUAAGAUAGUGACAUUUGCAACCACAAUAGGCACAUCCUCACAAAUACCGACAGGUAUGGAAGUUGAUUUAUUAGCCAUUUGCAAAGAUAUUUCAGUAGGUGUUAACUUAUUCAAUUCAAGUCUACGAUAUAAAGAGAGAGGCAUAACACUAACACGGGCUCCAAGAUCACAUAAAGCGGUUCUAACAUAAUUUCUUUUAAUGGAACAUGGUAUAGUUGGUACACCCGGAUCUCCAAGUUUCUUUGGUAUUCCACCCUUAAAAGUGUAAUUAGCAAGCAUGGUGGAAAUUUCAACUUCCGAUAUCUUCCUUUUAUUUGUAAUGAUAUCCUUCAUAUACUUAGCAUAAGGAUUUACUUUCAACAUAUCAGUUAAGCACAUACGUAAUAAAAUAGGUCUAAUCAUUUCAACAAAGCGUUCAAAAUCCUCAUCAUCCUUUGACUUGGAUGGUUUAGAAGGGAAGGGCAUGGGUUUCUGAACCCAUGGCUCUCAUUCUUUACCGUGCUUCCUAGCAACAAAAUCUUUCUUAUCAUAAUGUUGAUUCUUUGAUUGUGGGUUAUCAAGAUCAACAGCAGGUUCAAUCUCUACAUCAUUGUUUUUGAUAGGUUGAGCAUCAACAUGAACAUUAUCAAUAACAUUAUCACUAGGUUCAUGUUCAUCACCUGAUUGGGUUUCAGCAUCAGAAAUAGAAAUAUCAUUGGGAUUCUCAGGUGUGUCUUCAUUAGGUUCACUAGAAGCAUGCAAGGUUCUAUCGUCUUUCUUUUUCUUCUUCUUAGAAGAACUAGGUGCCUCUAAAUUAUUUAUCUGAGAAUCUUGCUCGAUUCUCUUAGGGUGGCCUUCAGGAUACAAAGGUUCCUGAGUCAUUCUACCAGUUCUAGUAGCCACUCUAACAGCAAAGUCAUUUUUACUAUUUAAUUCAUCAAGCAGACCAUUUUGAGCUUUGAGUACUUGCUCAGCUUGAGUAGCAACCAUAGAAGCAUAUUUGCUAACACGGUGAAGUUCAUCUUUAACUCUAGCCAGAUUAUCGCCUACGCGUCCUAUCUCGAAAGCAUUAUUCUUUAACUCUCUACCAACAUAAGCAUUAAAAGUUUCUUGUCUAGCCAUAAAGUCAUCAAAUUCAUCUAUGCAUGGGCUAUGAAAUUUAGUAGAGGGUAUUUCAACUUUAUCAUAUCUAUAGAGAUAAUUUACCUUUACUACCUGUGUCGGGUUAUCAAGACAAUGUGGUUCUUCAGGUGGUAAAUUAAGACCAUGUAUUUCUUCAAUAGGGGGUAAAUUCUUAACAUCUUCAGCUUUAAUACCUUUUUCUUUCAUUGAUUUCUUUGCCUCUUGCAUAUCUUCAGGACUGAGAAACAAAACACCUCUCUUCUUCGGAGUGGGUUUAGGAAUUGGCUCAGGAGUUGGCUCAAUUGGUUCAGGAGUUACUUCAGAAACUGGCUCGGGGAGAAUCCAAUUAUUUUCAUUAGUCAACAUAUUAUUCAAUAGUAUUUCAGCUUCGUCGACUGUUCUUUCCCUGAAAACACAACCAGCACAACUAUCCAAGUAGUCCUUGGAAGCAUCGGUUAGUCCAUUAUAAAAGAUAUCAAGUAUUUCAUUUUUCUUAAGAGGAUGAUCGGGCAAAGCAUUAAGUAGCCGGAGAAGCCUCCCCCAAGCUUGUGGGAAACUCUCUUGUUUAAUUUGCACAAAAUUAUAUAUUUCCCGCAAGGCAGCUUGUUUCUUAUGAGCAGGGAAAUAUUUAGCUGAGAAGUAAUAAAUCAUAUCCUGGGGACUACGCACACAACCAGGAGCAAGAGAAUUAUACCAAGUCUUAGCAUCACCCUUUAAUGAGAACGGAAAUAUCUUAAGAAUAUAUAAAUAGCGAGACUUCUCAUCACGAGUAAAUAGGGUGGCUAUAUCAUUCAACUUGGUAAGAUGUGCCACAACAGUUUCAGUUUCAAGGCCAUAAAAAGGAUCAGAUUCAACUAAAGAAAUAAUCUGAGGAUCAACAGAGAAUUCAUAAUCCUUAUCAGUAACACAGAUAGGUGAAGUAGCGAAAGCAGGAUCGGGUUUCAUUCUAGCAUUAAGAGACUGCUGCUUCCAUUUAGCUAAUAAUUCCUUAAGAUCAUUUCUAUCAUUGCAAGCAAGAAUUUCCAUAGCAGCUGCUUCAUUCAUAAUAUAACCCUUACGAACAACAGGUAAUACAUAAUCAUUGGGGGAAUGUUCAUCAUCACUGUCAUCAAUAAUAGGUUCUUCAAUAUUUUCAUUCCCCCUAACUCUAGCAAGUUGUUCAUCAAGAAAUUCACCUAAUGGCAAAGUAGUAUCACACACAGAAGUAGUUUCAUCAUGCAUAGAAGAAGUGGCAUCAUCAAUAACAUGCGACAUAUCAGAAUUCAUAGCAGUAACAGGUUUAGGUGUCGCAAGCCUACUAAUAACGGAAGGAGAAUCUAGUGCAGAGCUAGAUGGCAGUUCCUUACCUCCCCUCAUAGUUGAGGGCAAAAUCUUGGUCUUAGCAUCUUUCAAAUUCUUCAUAGUGAUCAACAGAUAUAAAUCCCAAGUGACACAGAGAAUAGAGCUAUGCUCCCCGGCAACGGCGCCGGAAAUUAGUCUUGAUAACCCACAAGUAUAGACGAUCGCAACAGCUUUCGAGGGUAAAGUAUUCAACCCAAAUUUAUUGAUUUGACACAAGGGGAGCCAUAUUCUUGAGUAUUAGCAGUUGAGUUGUCAAUUCAACCACACCUGGAUAACUUAGUAUCUGCAGCAAAGUAUUUAGUAGCAAAGUAGUAUGAUAAUAAAGGUAACGGUGGCAAAAGUAAAGAUAAAUGUUUUUGGGUUUUUGUAGUAGUUGUAACAGUAGCAACGGAAAAGUAAAUAAGCGAAGAAUAAUAUAUGAAAAGCUCGUAGGCAAUGAAUCAGUGAUGGAUAAUUAUGUCGGAUGUGAUUCCUCAUGCAAUAGUUAUAACAUAGGGUGAUAUAGAACUAGCUCCAAUUCAUCAAUGUAAUGUAGGCAUGUGUUCCGUAAAUAGUCAUACGUGCUUAUGGAAAAGAACUUGCAUGACAUCUUUUGUCCUACCCUCCCGUGGAAGCGGGGUCCUAGUGGAAACUAAGGGAUAUUAAGGCCUCCUUUUAAUAGAGAACCGGACCAAAGCAUUAACACAUAGUGAAUACAUGAACUCCUCAAACUACGGUCAUCACCGAGAAGUGUCCCGAUUAUUGUCACUUCGGGGUUGUCGGAUCAUAACACAUAAUAGGUGACUAUAGACUUGCAAGAUAGGAUCAAGAACACACAUAUAUUCAUGAAAACAUAAUAGGUUCAGAUCUGAAAUCAUGGCACUCGGGCCCUAGUGACAAGCAUUAAGCAUAGCAAAGUCAUAGCAACAUUAAUCUCAAAACAUAGUGGAUAGUAGGGAUCAAACCCUAACAAAACUAACUUGAUUACAUCGUAAAUCUCAUCCAACCCAUCACCGUCCAGCAAGCCUACGAUGGAAUUACUCACGCACGGCGGUGAGCAUCAUGAAAUUGGUGAUGGAGGAUGGUUGAUGAUGACGACGGCGACGAAUCCACCUCUCCGGAGCCCCGAACGGACUCCAGAUCACCCCUCUCGAGAGAGAUUAGGGCUUGGCGGCAGCUCCGUGUCGUGAAGCGCGAUGAAACUUUCUCCUUGAUUUUUGUUCCCUGAACGUGAAUAUAUGGAGUUGGAGUUGACGUCGGUGGAGGUCCAGGGGGCCCACGAGAUAGGAGGCCGUGCCCUAGGGGGGGGGGGGGCGCCCGCAUGUCUCAUGGACAGGAUGUGGGCCCCCUGGCAUUAAUUCUUUCGCCAAAAAUUCUUAUUAAUUCCAAAAAGUGCCUCCGUGGAUUUCCAGGACAUUCCAAGAACUUUUCUUUUCUACACAUAAAACAACAUCAUGGUAGUUCUGCUGAAAAUAGCGUUAGUCCGGGUUAGUUUCAUUCAAAUCAUGCAAGUUAGAGUCCAAAACAAGGGAAAAAGUGUUUGGAAAAGUAGAUACAUUGGAGACGUAUCAGAGGUGCACUCACCCACUCGCGGUACACGCCGGUCCAGGACUAGGACUCCUCGGGCCAGGUGGGCGGCGGCGGCGACUGCUUUUGCGUGGGCUCCGGCUCCGACUCGGCCUUGGGCUCGAGUGACGGCGGCGGCGACACGAAGAGCGUAUCAUGGACGGAGUCCCCUGCCGCCGACAAGGCAAGGGCUUGGUCUAGCCCAUCCCAAUGGGCGUCCUCCUCAAGCCAGCUCGCCUCCAGCGCGUCCUACAGGACCUCCUCAAGGGCAACUUGGUACACCGCCUCCUCCUCUUCCUCCUUUGGAAAAACCUGUGGGGGUGGUGGCAGAACAUUGUGGUCAACGUGGAUGCCAUGACGGCGCUCUUCCUCGUGCUCUAGCGCAAACCAGCCCUCCUAGUUGGGGAGUCUGGCUCGUAGGCACGCAUCCCGCGCUGCUCCAGUGUAAGGACCUCACGACAACGGCGAACCUCCUCGGUGUGUGCCCACGCCGAGCGCGCACUGCCGGAAUGGGGAUCUGUGGGGGUCCAGACGCCACCACGCCUGGUGGAAUGGUAUGUAUAGCCGCUCCCGCUCCCACCGUGGCGAGAUGUGUCUAGCCAGUGCAGGAGGCAGCGCGCGAGAAGAGCUCGUGUCGGAGUUGAACCUCCCCUUCCCCUUCCUAUUGAAGAAGCCCAUGGCUUGUGGCUGGCUCGCUAGGGUUUCAUUGGCUAGGGUUUUCUUGUCGCUGUCAAGGGAGCAAGCGUGACCAGAUGCAGACGGGGAGAUGGAAGUGGAUGAGGCCGGCCCCGCCACAUGAUUCCUUGAAAAAGAACGAGCGUGCGACCCUUCCACACACUGCCAGGCGGGACCGAGGUAGGUGGCUGCGUUUAAUAUGACCAUGUGCGGUGGUUGGCCGACUGAUUUGUGGGGCCACGACGGACACCGAGAGGACGCGCAGCGCGUUUGCUUCAUGUCCACACAGACGCAUUCUGGGCCCAAAGUUUGGCCUGGAAUGCGUCAGAGCGGACACGAAGCAGACACGUUUUGGGUUUGAGUCGGCACGUUGGCCGGCCUUUUUGUCAGCGGCGACCCAAACGAAAAUGGACAGAUGAAUUGGGUCGCUCCGCUGGAGUUGCUCCAACGCGAUGACCCAAACAGACGCGUGUUUUGUCCGCUUUUUGUCUGUUUUGAUCGGCUAGGCGGAUGGGCGCGUCCGCUUUUUGAUUUGGGUUGGCAGGUGCGCCCAACGGGAGGGAGACCCAUAUUUGCCCGCGUGGCUGAAUACAAAGAUACAUUAAACACGUGGCCGAAAAUAAACUUAAUAAUACAUAAUUUAACAUAAAUUACCGGUCAACCACCAGAUAAGGUCCACUUAAACAUUAAUUAAGCAAUAAAAAAAAUUCUGGGCCGCAUGUUGCCUUAGGCAUCCGCCUUGCCCUUACCGUUGUUGUUGCCACCGGUGACGUCGAUGAAGAUGGGGGUGGGGACCAGCCCACCCGAACGCGGCUUGAUAGGUCGUCUGGGCAGCUCCAGCAUGCGCUGCGACUGCGGUGUUGCCGAGAGACGGGGGCGCUCCUCCUCCUCAAGGCGCGGUGCCUCCUCGUCGCGGUGCAGCUCCUACUCCCGACGCAUGGGCCGCUCGCCUUCGAUCGCCUCCUCGGCGAGCCAAUGCGCCUUCUAGCGUUCAAGGUGGGUCGGCUCCCCAUUCAACGUCAUGGCGUAAUGGACGGGAGGCAUUUUUACCCCCUCGUGGUACUCGUCGGUCCAGGAGUAGGACUCCUCAGGCCAAUUAAUUGGGUGGCGGCGAGGACUGCUUCCAUGUGGGCGUGGGCUCCGGCUUCGACUCCGGCUUGGCCUUGGGCUUGAGCGGCUGUGGCGGGACGAAGAGCGGAACGUGGAAUGGGUCCCCCGCCGCCGACAGCGUGAGGGCUUGGUCUAGCCCAUCCAAAUGGGCGUCCUCCUCGAGCUUUCUCGCCUCCAGCGCAUGCUGCAGGACCCUCUCGAGGGUGGUUUUGUAUGCCACCUCCUCCUCCACAUCAUCCUCUGGCAAAACCUGAUGGGGUGGUGGCGGAACGUCAUGGUCGACGUGGACACCGCAGUGGCGCUCCUCCUCGUGCACUACUAGGGAAAAGUUUAUAGGUAGUCGCUUACUGCUACUUACUAGUAGCACGUUAUAUUUACCCACGCUACUGCUACUUACCCGCGUUAUAUUGACCCGCGCUACUGCUACUUACUAGUAGCGCGUUAUAUUUACCCACGCUACUACUAAAUAUUACCUGUAGCGUGUGGCUUAAAAAACACGCUACUAGUAACUAUCCCCAAUCGUGUCGGACAGGUCAAUAGCAGUAACAUGGGUUUGCUGGGCCGUGCUAGCACUACAAACAUAGUCAUAGCGCGGGUCACAUCAUGCGCUACAACUAACCCAGCCAAGGGAGACAACUAACCCAGCCCAACGAACAGCCUUCAACUCAUUUUCUCCUCUGUCUCCCACGAACCCUCGCCGCCGCCACCAACGCCGGGCGACUUCGGCUACUUCCGGCGGCCCUCCCCGGAGCGCAGCACACCCGCCACGACCUUUCCUCGCAUGGUGCGUCCUUCCCUCCGGCCAGAUCCGUUNNNNNNNNNNNNNNNNNNNNNNNNNNNNNNNNNNNNNNNNNNNNNNNNNNNNNNNNNNNNNNNNNNNNNNNNNNNNNNNNNNNNNNNNNNNNNNNNNNNNNNNNNNNNNNNNNNNNNNNNNNNNNNNNNNNNNNNNNNNNNNNNNNNNNNNNNNNNNNNNNNNNNNNNNNNNNNNNNNNNNNNNNNNNNNNNNNNNNNNNNNNNNNNNNNNNNNNNNNNNNNNNNNNNNNNNNNNNNNNNNNNNNNNNNNNNNNNNNNNNNNNNNNNNNNNNNNNNNNNNNNNNNNNNNNNNNNNNNNNNNNNNNNNNNNNNNNNNNNNNNNNNNNNNNNNNNNNNNNNNNNNNNNNNNNNNNNNNNNNNNNNNNNNGACUGCCUCCAACUCCGGCGUGGUGAGCUCCCUCUUUUCCCUUGAUUCAUUCCAUCUCCCCUCCCCUUCUUCCAUCUCUCCUCGCCCCCUCACUUAUUUCUUUGAUUCGGUGCAGCAGCCACCCUCCUCCAUGGAGGAGGACGACCACCAAGGCAUGCACAUGGUCGAGCUUGCCGCCGGUCUGCUACGGUGCGUUGCUAGGCCAACGACCUCCGCCUCCACGGAUCCUAGCUUGGGUAAGCACCCCCACCCCCAUGGACAUUUCACUUUCUUCCUCUGCCCCUCUUCUCUGUUCUUGCAUGAAUCCUCUGGUUCCAGUCAGCAGCACAACCAGAGCCACACAAAGGCGUGAGCAAUUUUGUAGGCAUGUCACCUAGCUUGCUUCAGAUUCUGCAGAUGUGCUCACCUCAACUAAUAGUCAAUAUUGUUUAUGCCGUAAACCUAUCUGAUGUACUAUUCCCUUGACAAGACUUGUUAUUUCAAUAGUUGAUUAGUUACUCUGUACCUCACAAGAGCUGCUGAAGUCAUCUAGUUGGUCGCCCUGCCAAACGGUGAGGCCGAUACGCAGCAUGAUCGCGGCCACCCUGAUUGCUUGCAUGGUACCUCCUGCACCUGCCAUAUGUCAGAACUCACGAUGUGGUUAGAUAUAUGUAGAUAAGACUGUUGGGUUGAACAAAAUAAUUAAUCUAUAUAUAGACAAGACUUAACACACAAUGAGCUCUUGACCAAUUCGAGAGCAUGAGCUGAUUGAGAUAUCUAGCUCCGUCGCCAUGUCAGCUGGAGUUGGUGGUAUUUGUGACAGUGCUACCAAAGUAUCAGCAAGCACUUAGUGCUGCAUGAAAGAAUUUGAUGACUACAAGAACCCAUAGUUCACUUGCAACUUUAAGUCUUGUAUUGGGAUCCCGCAAAAAAAAGUCUUGUAUUGGGACGAAGUAAAGAGCAGUUUUUAGACAGAAGAUACAUACCAUGGUUACAUUGGUUCUUGUUUCGCGAUCCAUCAGAAAAAAUGAGCACUGAUAGCUGAAAGAUGUCGUCUUUUCUUGGCAUGUCACAGUGAUGAAGGGACGGUCCGACCAACGCGCUUGUGUAUGGCUGAAAGUAGGAGACUUAGAAUUGAAAUGUAAAUUUGGUGCUCCGCCAAUGGCUUAAGAAAACAUCUGAACCCUGGAUGUCCUAAGAGCAAAAACACCAAAAUCAAUAGUAUAUUCAGGGACAAGCUAAGUUAGAUUAGUUGUUAAAAACUAUUACUAUAUUAGUUUUUUAACACACUAAUAUAUUGUUUGUUAUUCAGUUGCUAGUUACUUAUCAACCAUGCUACUCAUUUUUAGGAGGAGUGUUAGUAUCAGAUAGUUUUUCUUGGAGAACAUUAAGAUCGUGCAUUAAUCUUCUAUAUGAUGUUAUUGGUAUUUUGGAGGUAGUAAUUUUCCAAGGUUGUUGUUACCAUGGAGGUCAAUGGUCGUCACAAGCCUACAGGAGAAUAUAUCGGUAGAGAGUGCAAUGGUGUAGUUAAUGUGCAGCCAAAGUCCAGUAUGAUAUCAUAAUCUUGAGUAAAGCAUUUGAAUUUAAGCUAGUAGAUCUUGAGCUCUAUGAUUGAAGUGUCUCUAUUGAAUACUUCUAACUGAAGAGUUUAUUCAGAAUUAUGACACUUGUUGAGUAAAGCAUUAAUCUUGUUAUUGAUGUUUAAUGUUUCCCCUCUUUACAGAUUCUUGCUUAGAGAUACCAACCUCGUUUUUUGAGAGUUUGAGAAAUGUGGUGUUAUACUGAGACAUCACUCUAGCCAAAGAGAGGGUAAUUGGAUGCACUUCCUUUGCUGCUGGACGACAUCCACUAGGCGACGGAGCUCCCCAUGGCAACUGCGUCCAUGAAGCGUCCAUGAGCCAGCAAAUCCCGUCGGCAGGUAACUAGUCUAUCCUCUGUUCAUCUCUUCUUGUGAAUCCUUGUAAUGCUACAGAAAAAUGGUUAAUGGCUGAGUGCUUCUGAUUCGCAACAAAAAUGAAUGCUCCUGAAGUUUUUGGUUAUAUAUAGAUACAUUGGAAGUUUAUUUGCUGAUUUGGUUCUCAACAUUCGUUUGAAGCUUAGGAAAGGUCAGCCUGUAGGUUAGGCCCCUCUGCUUUUCUAGACAAGAAAGAAACGUUGCCGUAGUUUCUAGGUGCAGAUUGAGUUCGAUUGAUGAUCCUAAAUAGCCUGAGAGAGUGAAUGCUUCAAUGCUCAUCAACAUACGUGUAUGUAGAGUCUGGACUACUUCAUAAUUUGUUUUCAAAAUUAGUGUUACUAGAUAAGUAGUAAUUCUGAACAUCUUUGUAGCUUGCAAAAACCAGAUUGCAAGUAAUUCUAAACAUCUUUGUAGCUUUCAAGAACAUACUUGAAAUCAGUUGAUACAUGACCCGCGCGGCAGAAGGCAAUGAUUAAUCCUAAUGAUUUAGUAACUACAAAUUUAUGUGUUUUUCUUUGCCUUGUCCCGCCCAGCACGUCUGCGAAGACUGAACUUGGUGCCAAACAUUGCGGCGCGAAGUAAAAUGACACCAGAACUUGUCCCGCGCGCCCAGCACGUCUGCGAAGACUGAACUUGGUGCCAAACAUUGCGGUGCCUGAUGUGGUACUAUGUAUAGCAAAUAACCUAACAAGAAAUCUUCGAACACACAAAGUAAUUUAGUUAGCAUAUGUAUUUCUGUGCUUCUUUUGGACUUUAUGUUUUUCUAUGCACUAAUCUAUAUGAAUAACUAUUCUCUGCACUUUUCAUAGGUAUCAAAACACCAGAACUGCUCUCUUUUCAUAGCUAUGGAUGAAUUCCAAGAUCGAGUCAGCAUUCUCAGGAGGGUGAGUGCCACAUAAUUCUCCAUCUUCCUUUUAUGUAAAGAGUUGGUGUUUUCACAUAUUGAUUGUGUUUAUAUUCUCAAAAAAAAGGAUUGCCCCUGUUUAUCUUUUAACUGUAUCGCGUAGCUAAGAUCGUAAGAACAUAUUUGUAGUUGUGCGCUUUCUAAUAAGGAACAUCUUUUCCUUGCAAAACUAAGAGACGAUCAACUUUAGGAAUUUCAACUUUAUAGAUAGUACUGAUCUAGACUAGUAUCCAUGGUAACCAUGUGCGUUCUUGGACCAUUUAGUUUGAAUAGCCAGAGAGGAAUUAAGCAUAUAUUUUGGGCAUGAGCCCUUUUCAGUUGCUAGAUGAGAAGGAACCUUAACUUAAUGGGUCUUGUGAAUUGGAAUAUACCAUUUAGUUGAACUGAUGCAAUUUGCGUACUAACAAGUUUUAACUUUCUUGACGUGGGCGCAGGGGUGAUCGACGCUGACUAGUGCGGCCGGUGGGUGCUGUGCUCUUCAACCACUCGAAAGCGGACUUCUCCAUGAAGCUGGUGGACACGUCGCGUAGAUGAUUGUCCAUGUGAUUUUGACGCCGGAGGUCGCCAAGGUGGAGGACCUCGACGCCACCGUCCGAGGGGAGGGAGGAUUAUAUUCGAGUCCACCGGCGUCUAAGCUCCGAGCCUUGGUAGAUACAUCUAGGGAAGUGGUCUGUUUAGGUUGGUGAUGGAACACCAGGAAAGGUACCCACCUUUCGAUGAUGGUUGUGUGUGUCUGAUGUUAAAUGGAAUCUUGAGAAUGUUCUGUGACGUUGGUUUGGUUUGCACUGGAUGUAUUGCCAUCCAUGAAUACUACAUCUAACUUUUAUUUUUUUUAAUUCCUAAAUUGUUAGUAGUAGCAUGAGAAAUAGGUGAGCGCUACUAGUAUUUAGGUUAGUAGUAGCGUGGGAAAUAAGUGAGCGCUACUAGUAGUUAGGUUAGUAGUAGCGCGGGUAUUUAGUAGUAGCGCGAUAGUAGUAGCGUGGGUACCCGCGCUACUAGUAGGCAGUUUUCAAGCGCUACUACUAGCCUUUUUCCUUGUAGUGGUGCUCUAGAGAAAACCAACGCUCCCAGUUGGGGGAAUCUGGCGCGUAGGCAUGCAUCGCAUGCUACUCGGGCGUAAAAAGAUCUUGCGACGCCGGCGAACCUCAUGGGUGUGCUCCCGCGCUGACACUACAAGAAAUAUGUCAACUUGUGACCACCAAUAUUGGUCACUGAAAGGUCAUGGUUUUUCAUUUGCGACCUUUUUGUGACAAAAAACAGAAGGUCAAAAGCUGGCGGUCGUAAACUGACUAUAGCGACCAUUCUUCUGGAAUGGUCGUAGACGUUUAUGACCAAAAUAUGUCCACUGUGGUGUUUUGGUCACUAGCAACCUCCCCAGGCCACGUAGGCAUCCAGCAUGGCAAGAUGAUGUGGCACAAGAUUCAGCCCGGUCCGAUUUGGCGUUUUACAUGGGCCGAGCCCAACAAUUCGGCCUUUUUAUAUAUUUUUUCUGUCAAUUUUUUAUCGGCUUCAUAGGCCAAGCCAACAAUUCAGCCCUCGAGCUUUUUGCAGUCCAUUUCUUUUUUCUGUGACUUUUCAUUUCAUUUUUGAAAUUGUUCGAUGCUUGUUGGUAUGUGGCCUGUUUCAGCCCAAUUAUUUGUCCAGUUUGGCCCAAGCAGACUUUAGCCCAAUCACACACAUACAUCCAACAUUAUUUCAUUCAAAUUAGGAAAACUCCCAGCUUUACAUAACACAAAAAGAAAAUAUCUCCCAGGUUUACAUAACACAAAAAAUCAUCUCAGGAAUACAUUUCCUUACACAGGAAUAUACAGUAAGAAAAUGAUGGCACAUCUGCUACUAUCAUAACAACACAAUGUACUUUUUUUUAACAGAAGAGUACAAUGGAUUUCAUUGCUCUCUCUUAUGCAACAUGCUCCAGCUGCCACAACUUUCCAUCCUACAGUGAGAGAGAUAUAACAUUAGUGGAGCAAACUGUUGUCCAGGCACAUUAGUUUUAUGAGAAAACUGAUCCAUGAAGCAAGACCAGAACACAUUCUGCGCAACUUUUGAUAACACAAUUUGGAUUAAACAACAGAUUAUGCUUAGCUAACUUAGAAACAAGUACUGCCUAUGAUGCAUGUCUAUCUAUGUGCAUUGCAUUUUACUUUGUUCAAAAGUAGAAGCUACAUAUCCAUUUUUCCAGGUUUGAAGCUACAAAUCUAAAAGAUAAAGUAUAAGUUAACUGAAUUGUGUUUUUUUAGAUAAUAACUGAAUAGUGUGCAGUAGAAUGAAUGUUUCAUAAUAAACAACUAGUGUUUGUGAUGAAAACUUAACGUUACAAUACAACCACUGCAAGGCUUUUUUUGAGGCUAAAUAAAGGAUACUGCGUAUUGAAUUCUACAACAAACAGGUCAACUUCUGCAGUUCUAGAAUUGCCACGAAAUAUGUUCUAGUAUGCCUGAAUAUUCAUCAACUCUUGUCAUCGUAUGAAAAUAAAACUAGUGAACAUCACACCGUAUUUGGAUGCUAUCUAUACUAGUAUGGAAUGAUGCCAGGUAAGACGAUCUCAGCAAGGUGCACGGUUGUUUAGAAAGGAAAGCACAUUUGACUGAAGUACCAAUUUUCAGAGUUUUCAUAGCACCAUGAACAUUGAGAAAUGAAAAAAUAGUAAACGGUUUACCCACAGUAUUAUCUGGCCAGCAUGAUGAUGUGAGUACAUUCUAAGUAGCAUCAGCACAAGAUAGACAGAAAUGAACUCCAAAAGCAAAAAAGAGGAAGAGUAUGUACAUUACAAGCAACUUUUGUCUGCACUAACAACAGAAGCUAUGCUCACAAGUUCAUAUUGUUGGUACAGGAAAUAUGCAAGACAUCAUAUAAGCAUACACAAUUACACAGCUGAUACUUAGAUCACAACUGAUUUCCAAAGCUAAUUAACAAAGGAAGUCACAUUUCUACUGUAGCAAUCGCCAAAAGUAACUGAUUUAUCCAUGCUCGCUAAAAUUCCUUUUAGAUUUGCAUCCACAAGAGAAAGCAGUAGCAUUUCAGUUUUCAGCACUAGAGAUCUCUCAGAAUGGGAACCACAAACCGUACAUAACAAGGGCAACUUACAAACAAGUCACAACCCACAAUAUCUAAAACAACAAAGACCAAAGGAUGGCAUUACCAACCUCUGAAAUUAAACUCGCAGGCGCAAAAGUAAGCACGAUUUCUGCACAAGGCCCCUAACAGCUACCACGGCGGAGGUUCAAGGAGGCCAGGCCUCGCCUGCUUCUCCACAAAAAAACAAAGGGUGCGUAGAGAGUUGGAUAAACGCGCAGCAAGUACCCUCAGGCUGGCCACGACACAGCUCUCCGACCAAAGUCGUGCGACCUAGGCGACACCGAUGGAUGAGAUCUAGUGCCCUAGCACCACAACCGCAACGGAACGCGCCAAUCCGGGGCCCGAGCAAGCAUGAGGGGCGAAGAAAUUUUCUGUCGACACGGCACCAAAUCGAGGAGGACUCAGGGGAGGGGGGGUCGGAAUGGGGGAUCACCUCGAUGUCGUGCUCCUCGAGCUGGGCACGGAGCAGCUCCGAGGCACGCACCAUGGUGCUCCUGCCAUGGGCCGGGCGCGCGAGGAUGGUCGGGCUCCUCCUGCUUCUCCUCCAGAGGCCUCCGCCGUGCGCUGCUCCAACGCGAGCCCUGCAUGUCACCCAAGGAGAGGAGAGGAGCGCAUAUGUUAGGAACCGCAGGAGAGGGAGGGGAGGCGCGGAGUGUCGUGCGCGUGCGUGGUCGUGGCGGGCACGCCGCCAUCCUGGCCGUGGACUGCCUGCAUGUGGUCGCCGGGCCGACGAGACGAGGCGCUGCGCGACAAAAUCCCAAGGACGGAGUGGUUGGUUGGCUCAGAGUGGAUAAGGCUAGGGGAGAACAGGAGGGAGGGAGGAGCUCGAUCUCGUCUAUGGUGAGGGUCGUCGAUGGUACACUUGACCGCGGGGGCGGCGGCGGCGGCGCUAGGGUUUGCUCUUGAUCACUCGCUCGCUAGGAGGAUGAUGGAGGAGGGUGGAUCGAUCCGCUGGGAUUGACGCGCUACGGUGAGGUGGGAUGGGAGAAGGAGCGGGCCGAUGAGGACAUGGCCGAGCCGACGAGGGCACGUGGGGGCGAGGGGUUCUGUGGAUGCGGACAUGGUUCUGUGGACGCGGACAUGGCUCUAUGGACGCGGUAGGUGGAGGGAGUGGGGUGGGGCGUAGAAGAGAGGGGGAGAGUGAGGCCGGCGGCGAGGUGUGGUGAAGGGGCGAUUGGAUCUGGGGGAGAAGGGGAGGCGGCGAUGGAGUGGGAGGGGGAGGAGGGCGAUUGGAUCUGGGGGAGAAGGGGCGACGUUGAUAGAGUUAUGGUUUGGGUGGUUGGGCUGCGGGUAGGGUUUUCUUUUUCUUUUUGUCUUUUUUUUCUUUAGAUAAAUGGGAUGGAUGGAUGGAUGGAUGCCAUGUCAUCGAUCCAUGGCACAAACGUUUCAACCAAUGAGAACAAAGCUUAUGUUAUUAUGUUUUUUCUAUUUGUUUCUUUUGUAUUUUUUGCACAAGGUGCAUCUUCGAAUGGCAUAGUUUUUUCAAAUUAUCGCAUAUUGUGCACAAGGGUGCAUUAUGGAAUUGUAAACAAUAUUGGCUAAGAAAGUUUUCAUUUUCAUUGGACGAAAAAUGCAUUUUUCAUUUUUCGAGUGCCCAAAACGAGUUUUUGUGUGAAGGAACUACCAAAUAAUUGUUGCAAAAAUGGACCAAAUCAAUUUUAUAAAAUACUAGGCCAUGUUCAAUGCACAAUUGAUAGAAUGGUUGGGUGUAAAAAGUUUUGAUCCACCUCUGGUGAAAAAGACAAAUUGUCGCCGAUUCAGUUGGAUGCGGGUCAAAUUUGAACUGCAGCUGCCUCAUAGUUUGCUAUUUAUUUUUUCCAAAAAUCAUUUCUAGGUACAUAAGUAUCUAUUUUAUCAUAGAAACACCAAAAGUUUUCCAAGAUUCAACCACUAGCUAGGAACGGUGAAGCCCGCCGUUUUGACCGCAUUUUGAAACGAGCAUAAAAAAUUAAAAAAAAACAGAAAAUUGGAAAACCUUCGCGUUGUGUCAUUAUAUGUGACCAAGUUUCUAGGAAAAAUAAUAAAGUUUUAAUACAGUAAUUAUUUUAAAAAAGUGUUCUCAGAUAUGAGCUAUCAUCCGUGAAGAUUCAUGACUUUCAAGCUAAAUGAUCAAUCUUAUGGCCACAUUCAUGGCACAGUUUGUUCAAAUGAUCUCAUAUUGUGCACAAGGGUGUAUCUUGGAAUUCUAAACAAUGUUGCCGAAGGGAAUUUUCAUUUUCUUUGCACGGAAAAUUCAUUUUCCAUUUUCCGAGUACCCGAAAUGAGGUUUUUUUGUGAAGGAACUACCAAAUAAUUGUUGCAAAAAUGGACCAAAUCAAUUUUAUAAAAUACUAGGCCAUGUUUAAUGCACAAUUGACAAAAUGGUUGGGUGUAAAAAGUUUUGAUCCACCUCUGGUGAAAAAGACAAAUUGUCACCGAUUAAGUUGGAAGCGGGUCAAAUUUGAACUACAGCUGCCUUAUAGUUUGCUAUUUAUUUUUUACAAAAAUCAUUUCUAGGUAAAUAAGUAACUAGUUAAUCAGAAAUACAUGGUUUUAUGGCGAUACAUCGACGUUUCACUAGUAGAAAAACACCAAUUAGUCCUGGUUCGUAAGGGCCUUUAGUCCUGGUUCAUGAACCGGGACUAAUGGGUCGUUACAAAUACCUCCAACCAUUAGUCCCGGUUCAAAUACGAACCGGGACCAAUGUGCCUCCACGUGGCCGGUCCAGCGAGCCCAGUCAGGGGGGCCUUUGGUCCCGGUUGGUGGCACCAACCGGGACCAAAAAUCCAUGUUUUUUUACAGAAGUGGCUGCUUUAGGGGUUUUGGGGGUUAUCUUAAGGUUGUUAUUAGCUAGCUAAUAGAGAGAAGUGUCCUCUCUUAUAUCUUCGUCCUUGGUUUAUCAAGGCUGCUGCUAUGUUCAUUUCACCCGCUGAUAUAACAUGCUCAUGCAUGCUCGCAUCAUACAUCAUCAUAUAUAAUAACAAGUCCUAUGCAUCAUCAUACAACUUCUACUCGUUAUUAAUAAAAAGUCAUACGAUCAUCAUCCUCAUAGUCAUCGAACCCAACCCUACAUAAUUGUUCUUAGCACAUGAUCAUCAGUAUCAAGUAGGACCUAAACACCCUUAAGGUAAAAAAGCAUAAAACAAUAUAGACCCUGACUCUCCAUUAUGAAGAAUGGCGAUCAUCCUGUCUCCAAUUCUUGCCGUUCGCUGCUUGUUGCUUCCAAGAAGCUCCUUACGACUGUCCAUACAUUUUUUCCAUUCUUUGAUUGUUAUGUCUCCACUUCUUUUAGAAACCCGGUAUGGACAGUUGAGAUUCGUAGGACGACCUGGUUGUAUGUUCAAAACAUGAAGGCUACCAUGCGUAUACAUCAGAUGAGGCACACAAUCAUUCGGGAUUAUCUAUUGAAAAACAUAGUAAUAACUUCGUAGUUAGCAAUGAUGUACUAUAGUUUUAGAAGUGUGAAAAAAGAUGCACGGAUGUUGUAAUAUAGUAAAAAAUAAUCUUACCAGGGUAUCUCCAUGGUAGUUACCAUAGUUCAACACGUGCACUAGUGGCACGUAUUGACCAUAAUGUUGAGGAGUUUGAUUGUAGAUAUUGUAAUUCUCAAGAUUAGUACAAAAUGCGACCAGAUGAUUUUUCUCCUGAUUAGUUAAUUCGGAGCCUUCGGUGUAGUAGGUUCUGUCUACCAUCUUCCGCACAUUCUUUGAAGAAUGAAAAUAAGUUGUCAAUGGAGAUAAGUUGUCAACUAUUUCGAAAUAAACAAUAUAAAUUACUUAAUAUCUAUGUUAAGCUCACAUGGGGGAAGAAUUGGAGGUGUAUCCACAAGGACCCAAAUCGAAGGUCUCUCUUGCUCGAUUGUAGGAUCACCAAGAUCCAUGGUGACAAGCAUACCCUCAUCAAGACCAUAUAUAUUGCAAAGUGCUUCCCAAUUUUUGCAACCAAAAUGGGUUACACUCUGAGCAUUGUACAACUUUACUUGAAAAUCCACACCAUGAUUGGUACUUAGGAUAAUUUUUUUGGUUUCGAAACUUUCAUGGUCUUCAAAACCCAUCCUCUCCAAGACAUAGCGUCUUGCAAAGCAUGGGAUAAGCUAGUCGAAUUGGAAAAGAUGAAAAAUAUUGUCAUGAUUAAAAUAGUUGAAGUCAUGAUUAAUUACGAAAAAAACUAUUGUCGUCGAUUGCGUACCGUAUGAACAUCGAAGGUCUCCUCGAGCUUAAUGCUGAAGCGACGAUCUUCGUCCAGCUCAAUGAACCUGUCGCAGAUACCUCGGUCAUCGUGGCACCAGUCGCACUCCCCCGGGCGGUUUUCUUCGUCCGAGUACGACAUUUCCGGCCUAUGUUCAUAAUUCAAUUAUUAAACUAGAUUAUUAAUCACGGGUUGACUAUCAGUGAUGUACGUAGCUCCUCCUUUCAUUCCCGAGUGCAUUAUUACACCAAAUUGUCUAGCACACGGGAAUGAAGGAGAACUUAUCCAAUAUGAGCAUUCAAUAAGCAAAACCAAAUCAUAAAAUAAGCAAAAUCAAAUCAUAAAAUAAAGUAGUAUUCAGAUUAGCAUGCAUUCAAUAAUUAUAAGCAAAAGUACAUCAUCUCUGGGUCUCCGUACAUCGUCGAAUAUUAUCACUAAUAUAGCAUCACUAAUACAACUAGAACCGUAGCGCCCGACGGGUAUCGACGCGGGCGGUGGACACCCAAAGAUAAGGAACCAUCACAGGAUCAUAGCUCUAGUGAGAUCCCUGAAGAACCUGCCAGGUAUUGUCGAACCUGCCCUCCAAUGCAACCAUGUAGCGACGGACGUGCUCGUCCUCCUCGCUGACACGGUGAUGUACCACCUCCGCGGUGUCCGGAAGCCUCGGCACCAUCACUGGCCAACGCGACCGCCACCAAACAAGGAUUGGGUCAACAACGGGCUGCCUCCUCACCAACCAACGUCCCCCGGAAGGUAGCACCUCCCAAUACCAGCCCGGCGGAGCCCAGUCCUGAACAUGGCCCUGAUCAAGCAAGCCUCCACCACCGAGUCGACGACGACGAGGAUGCGGGAUAGGCAUCGUCGACGUCGAUGCGGGAACUACUUCUAUAUAUAGUUAAAUAAAGUAGUUUUAUUAAUUAAAUGAACUAGCUAGUUCAACUACUAAACACUUACUAUAAAUAAAAAAGUAGUACUUACUAAAAACAAACUACUUCUAUAUAUAGUAAAAUAAAGUAGUUUAUUAAAUCAACUAGCUAGUUCAACUAUAUAUAAAGCACUUACUAUAAAUAAAAUAAAGUAGUACUUACUAAAANNNNNNNNNNNNNNNNNNNNNNNNNNNNNNNNNNNNNNNNNNNNNNNNNNNNNNNNNNNNNNNNNNNNNNNNNNNNNNNNNNNNNNNNNNNNNNNNNNNNNNNNNNNNNNNNNNNNNNNNNNNNNNNNNNNNNNNNNNNNNNNNNNNNNNNNNNNNNNNNNNNNNNNNNNNNNNNNNNNNNNNNNNNNNNNNNNNNNNNNNNNNNNNNNNNNNNNNNNNNNNNNNNNNNNNNNNNNNNNNNNNNNNNNNNNNNNNNNNNNNNNNNNNNNNNNNNNNNNNNNNNNNNNNNNNNNNNNNNNNNNNNNNNNNNNNNNNNNNNNNNNNNNNNNNNNNNNNNNNNNNNNNNNNNNNNNNNNNNNNNNNNNNNNNNNNNNNNNNNNNNNNNNNNNNNNNNNNNNNNNNNNNNNNNNNNNNNNNNNNNNNNNNNNNNNNNNNNNNNNNNNNNNNNNNNNNNNNNNNNNNNNNNNNNNNNNNNNNNNNNNNNNNNNNNNNNNNNNNNNNNNNNNNNNNNNNNNNNNNNNNNNNNNNNNNNNNNNNNNNNNNNNNNNNNNNNNNNNNNNNNNNNNNNNNNNNNNNNNNNNNNNNNNNNNNNNNNNNNNNNNNNNNNNNNNNNNNNNNNNNNNNNNNNNNNNNNNNNNNNNNNNNNNNNNNNNNNNNNNNNNNNNNNNNNNNNNNNNNNNNNNNNNNNNNNNNNNNCGACGGCGUCAGGGCGGGGCGGCGACGGUGUCGGGGCGGCUAUGACGUCGGGGCGGGGCGGCGACGGCGAGGUGGCGGCAGGGGACGGUGUCGAGGCGUCGAGAGAGAUCGAAGUCGGGGCGAGGCGGCAGUACUACUUAUAUAGCAGAGGCUUUGGUCCCAGUUCGUGCCGCAAACCGGGACCAAUGCCCCCUUUUUGUCCUGGUUUGAGCCACCAACCGGGACCAAAGGCCUCUUUUCGGCAGCCCAAAGGGAGGGAAACGAAGACCUUUGGUCCCGGUUGGUGGCUCCAACCGGGACAAAAGGGGCGCAUUGGCACCGGUUGAUGGCACCAACCGGUACCAAAGAGGGGCAUUGGAACCGGUUGGCGCCACCAACCGGUACCAAUGGACCCGUCUAAUUUUUUAUUUUCUGCAGCCGUUUUUAGUUGAUUCUUUUUGCAGCUGUUUUUUUAGUCCCACCACGCUAGACGAGAGGCACUCGCAGCUGUUUAUAAGCCCUGAGUGCAGAGACGAUGAAGAAGAAGCUCAAUGCUCACCUGCACGUUGGUUAGCUUCAAGCCUUGAUGAAUAGGGUAGACUGCACAGAGUUAUGUGCAGUGCAGUUGACACUAUUCCGAAAGGCUUGAAGCAAAUUAACGAGCAUUGUGCCUCUUUUUUAUUUUUACUGACUUAUUUUUAAUAGUUGUGAUUAACUUAACUAAAAAAUGAGCAUAGAUGCUUAUUUUUAAUGACUUAUUACAACUCAGAAAUAAAAAGAAAAAAAUAAAUAUAGCAGANNNNNNNNNNNNNNNNNNNNNNNNNNNNNNNNNNNNNNNNNNNNNNNNNNNNNNNNNNNNNNNNNNNNNNNNNNNNNNNNNNNNNNNNNNNNNNNNNNNNNNNNNNNNNNNNNNNNNNNNNNNNNNNNNNNNNNNNNNNNNNNNNNNNNNNNNNNNNNNNNNNNNNNNNNNNNNNNNNNNNNNNNNNNNNNNNNNNNNNNNNNNNNNNNNNNNNNNNNNNNNNNNNNNNNNNNNNNNNNNNNNNNNNNNNNNNNNNNNNNNNNNNNNNNNNNNNNNNNNNNNNNNNNNNNNNNNNNNNNNNNNNNNNNNNNNNNNNNNNNNNNNNNNNNNNNNNNNNNNNNNNNNNNNNNNNNNNNNNNNNNNNNNNNNNNNNNNNNNNNNNNNNNNNNNNNNNNNNNNNNNNNNNNNNNNNNNNNNNNNNNNNNNNNNNNNNNNNNNNNNNNNNNNNNNNNNNNNNNNNNNNNNNNNNNNNNNNNNNNNNNNNNNNNNNNNNNNNNNNNNNNNNNNNNNNNNNNNNNNNNNNNNNNNNNNNNNNNNNNNNNNNNNNNNNNNNNNNNNNNNNNNNNNNNNNNNNNNNNNNNNNNNNNNNNNNNNNNNNNNNNNNNNNNNNNNNNNNNNNNNNNNNNNNNNNNNNNNNNNNNNNNNNNNNNNNNNNNNNNNNNNNNNNNNNNNNNNNNNNNNNNNNNNNNNNNNNNNNNNNNNNNNNNNNNNNNNNNNNNNNNNNNNNNNNNNNNNNNNNNNNNNNNNNNNNNNNNNNNNNNNNNNNNNNNNNNNNNNNNNNNNNNNNNNNNNNNNNNNNNNNNNNNNNNNNNNNNNNNNNNNNNNNNNNNNNNNNNNNNNNNNNNNNNNNNNNNNNNNNNNNNNNNNNNNNNNNNNNNNNNNNNNNNNNNNNNNNNNNNNNNNNNNNNNNNNNNNNNNNNNNNNNNNNNNNNNNNNNNNNNNNNNNNNNNNNNNNNNNNNNNNNNNNNNNNNNNNNNNNNNNNNNNNNNNNNNNNNNNNNNNNNNNNNNNNNNNNNNNNNNNNNNNNNNNNNNNNNNNNNNNNNNNNNNNNNNNNNNNAUAGCAGAAAAGAAAAAAAACUAUAUAAAAAACUACUCAGAAAUAAAUAGAAGCAAAAAUAGUUGUGAUUAACUUUACUAAAAAAUGAACAUAGAUGCUUAUUUUUAAUGACUUAUUACAAUUCAGAAAUAAAUAGAAGAAAAAAUAGUUGUGAUUAAAUUAACUAAAAAUGAGCAUAGAUGCUUAUUUUUAAUGACUUAUUACAACUUAGAAAUAAAAAGAAAAAAAAUAAAUAUAGCAGAAAAGAAAAAAAACUAUAUAAAAAACUACUCAGAAAUGAGCAUAGAUGCACUUAUAGAGAAAAUUCAACCUAAAUUCAUAAUAAAUUUCUACUAACUUCAGAGAAAUUCAAUAUGAAUUUAGGUUAAAUUUCCUGUAUAAGGGCAUCUAUUUUCAUUUUGAGAGGAGCUCAACAAGGCAGAGAGGGAGGGGCUUAUAAACCGGUCUGAUUCCCCUUCGGUUGGCGAGGUGGGACUAAACUCUGACCGCAACGAGGACCAACCCUUUAGACCCGGUUGGUGGCAUGAACCAGGACUAAAGGGCAGCCUUUGGUCCCGGUUCAUGCCACCAACCGGGACCAAUGGUGGUGGGCCAGGAGCGAGGACCAUUGGUCCCGGUUCGUCCCACCAACCGGGACCAAAAGGUCCAGACAAACCAGGACCAAUGGCCCACGUGGCCCGGCCGGACGCCGAGGCUCACGAACCGGGUCCAAUGCCCCCAUUGGUCCCGGUUCUGGGUUGAACCGGGACUAAUGGGCUGGACCGGCCUGGACCAUUGGCCCCUUUUCUACUAGUGUUUGGACGGUAGUCGAGGGCCCCAACUCUAGAGCGCGUAAGCUCGCAUGCCCGUCGCGUGGUCACCGCGUGACCGUGGCAUUGCCAUAUGUUCUGGGCGGCCUAAGCAUGUCUAGUGGGUUGGGCACUCCCCAGUUAGGUGUUAGGAAGAAUAUCACAACAUAAGAUUCUCACGAGGAGACCGAUCGAUGCUCAAACAUGAAUAAGAAGCCAAGUGUUUGAUUUGCGGUACGGGAAAUGCACAUGGCUAAUGGGCGUGAGUUUUGGCUGAGGAUGAUCAGUUACUAAGAAGACCGUCUUCACAAAUUUUCACCUCAAAAGGAGGAGCCUAGGUGGUACUUGCUGUACAAAGUACCACACUGGACAUAAAUACGAAUGUUGAAGCUGGGCUCAAAAUAAUGAAUGGAUUGAGCUGGCAUUUGGUGGACGAUGAUUAUUUGGGCAUAGGAAAGCACUGUAGAAAAUGGAUACCAUUUGGACAUGCCAAACUGGUACUUCCUUCACAAAGUGCUGCUUUGAACAGAAUAGGAAAAUGAAUAUUUUUCGAAUUAUUUUUGAACUAGGCAAGGAAUGUUUUUGACAUAUUUGAUGAAGAUAUGAUCCAAAACAUUUAUGAGAUUUUUUUGGGAAUUUUUGGAAUAACAGAAAUAUAGGUUGCUUCACAACCUAUGACAAAAACUGCCACAUGGACAUGACACAUAGGCAAAACUGAUGAGAUGGCGCCUAGUCAUCACAACCCAUCACAAUCUACAAGGCUAUGACCAUCUAUAUUGGUCAUUAACAACUAGAAAUAAGGCAGUGGACUAGCACUAUUUGUUUUGUGACCAUUUCAUGUAAGGAAAUUACGACCUUUCUGACCAAAAUGGUCGCAAUGGUUUAGGGUUUGGAGCCCCCCAAACAACUUUUGACCAAUUGGUAUGAAAUAGUCAUAGAUCUAUGACCAAUCCUUCCAGGGUCACUGACAGAAGGUUACUAGUUGACAUAUUUCUUGUAGUGUGAGUGCAGCACCGCCUGAAUGGGAAUCUAGUGCGGGUCCAGAUGGCAGAUGUGUGCCAGGUUGACAUCGGGAUACUGCAGGCAUUGGCGGUACUGCCAGUGCCACCACGCCUGGUGGACUGGUAUGUACAGCCGCUCCCGCUUCCGCAGUGGUGAGCCGGGUCUAGCCGGCGGAGGAGGAAGCGUGCGAGAAGAGCUUGCGGCAGAGCUGAACCUCCCCUCCCCUUCCGGCUAAAGAAGCCCAUGGCUGGUAAGUGGGUGGCUGGCUAGGGUCUUCUUGUAGUCGGCGAGGGAGCAACCGUGUCCAGAUUGGCCGGGGAGAUGGUAGUGGAUGAGGCCGGCCCCGCCGCACGCUUCCAAAGGACGGGCACGCGGCCCUUCCACAGACUGCCAAGCCGGACCGAGGUAGGUGACCGCGUUCAAUGCGCCCGUGUGUGUUUGUUGGCCGGCUGACAUGUGGAACGGCAGUGGACACCGAGGGGACGCGUGGCACAUUCGCUUCACGUCCGUGUCAAUGCAUUUCGCACUCAAAUUUGAGCCUGAAAUGAAUCGGCGCGGACAUGAAAUAGACGUAUUUUAGGUUUGUGUGCAUGUUUGGCCGGCGUUUUUGUCCGCGGCGACCUAAAUGAACAUGGACGGAUGAAAUCAAUGACCUGGUUAGAGUGGCUCUAACCUCCUCCGAGGAGAAAAUACAUCCUCACCCGCCGCGGCCAUGUCCGCUUUCGUGUCUAAUCGGAUGGGUCAAGUUUUCUUAGACGGACCUGAGCCACGGCUCCGCUUGUCAGCCUAACGUGCGUUACCAAAAAAGGAGCCCGCAAGCUGGUGUACAGCAGUAUUCAUUCCCGUAUUAUGCUAGGCGAUAUCAUUUUCCUCCGACCGUAUAUGCUGUCAUGGCCCCACUAAUGCAUUGUGCCAUCCAACUCAGUAAUGCCGCUAUCCAAUAUAUCAGCCUUAUUUAAAUUGUAGUACAUCAAUUUCUCAUUACUCCCAAAAUAUUAACGUCACAGAAGUUUCCUUCUAAUAUGAAUUAUGUCAAUUACUUGGUAUCGCCUAUAUAGAAGGAGAAAAGGUUACCAUUCAUUUUCCUACAUCUUUCUAAUUAAGCCUUAAUUUGGAUGAACAUCUAGCCAUGAACUAACCUUGUCUCAACCCUUUUUCAUAUUUAAUCUAAAACUAUAAAAAGCAGCUAGUUUAACAAAAGAAAAAUACACACUUUCAAUACUGCAAGGUUAGGAAAGUGACGUGCAAUUUAUGCGAAUGGUAUUUUGUGAAAUUCAAGCAGCUAAGGAUUAACAAAAAUAUAUAAAAACAUUAUGUCUUCUGUUCUGAGCAAUCAUAAUUAAUCUACACUAAAAUUUGUUAAUACCAAACUUGCAAGUAGCCUAUCUCUCAUGCACAUUGUUCAUCAAGUUAUCAAUGUGCACCUUAUGUACUUCCGCUGAGUCGCAUUUGAUUAUGUACGCAUACAGAUCCAUCCAGCUUCUUGUCUAAGGAAAAUCUCUUAAUUCCAUGUCCUGCUAUUGAUACUUGCGCCUUCUUUAUUCCGAGGGCUCCCCAGUUUCUUGCCUACAGUCAAUUGAGUCUUAUAAUAUGUAGAGAGUCGCUCCUUGUGCAAUGGAUAGCCUCAUGGGACAUUGCCGAUGGCCCUGGUGAUGCAAGGUGAAGCAUAUGUGCACAAACGCGAGAUACGAAAUAGCUUACCUGAUAGGUCAGUUCCUCUGUCUGCUGCCCAUAAUCCUAUUUUACUUCUCUGGAAAUUCAAAAUUGAGCAAUCAAGCCUGGAGCAGUCAAUGCAUGCAUGCAUGUAGAACUGGAAUCAUGGAUAGAAUUGGAUUCCGUCUGCGCACAUGCUGGAAUGUCCCAUACUUUCCGUCAUUUUUUUGUUUUGCUUCAACGACUGCAAAGAAAAGCUUUGUCUUCAGUCACCAUGGACCACACUGAAAUUAUUGGAUUAAUAGUAUGCCUCGGUGAUGGUCUAAGUGGAGAGAUGAGGGAGCUUUAAUCGCCAACACCUAUCGGCAUCAGGCACGAUCUUUUUCCGAGAAAGCUUCUUCCUAGUAUGCACAAUUGAUCAUCCCUUCUAAUCGUCAUCUUCAUCAAGCACGACGGCAGCGACCUACUCCACGGGGUAGAUCCUCAUCAUCGACGAUGCAUACAAAGUCUUCCAUACGUGCGUGUGUGCCUGUGCGCUUCUUGCGAGAGCCGAGCACUGGCGCGGAGCUACACGCAUGCAUGCGCCGUUCAUGGGCCGGCCGGCUUGGCGUGCGCCGCCUUUUUAGAUCAAGAUUCCAUUACGAUCUCUAUGUCCGAUCGGCCGGCUAGCUUGCAUGUUCCUUUUCGGUUUCUCUGUUUUUCUUCUAAGGUGGAAAUACCCAACGGGUUUUAGUUUUUUUUUACGUGCAGUAUUAACCUAAUCUUCACUGUUGAUACAUGCAUCUUAGAUUUCAGUGUGCCAAAUCAUCACCGCUCGUUUUCUAUCGUUUUAAGUAUAUAAUAGAUAGAUAGAUAGAUUUUAAAAUUUUCAUAUAUACGUUGAUAGCCCGUUCGAUAUGUUAUGAUUCAUAAAGAUCACUGCAAACAUCAAUGUUCUGCUUAUCACAUAUAAGAUUGAUUAAUACACGUAACAAUUCAUGUCCUUAAUAAAGGGUGCAUGCACGUAUAGGUUCAGCGUGUGUCUUACAUCGUGUGCUGUGUGCAUGCAGGCGUGCGAGUGUUGCAUGUGUGUGUGAGUACGUUUCAGUGUUGCAUGUAUGUGUGCGUGCGUGCGGGCGUGUGUUUGUGAGUGCAUGUGUACGUGUCAGUGUAGCACGCCUGCAUGCGUGCGUGUGUUCGUUACGUGUACGUGUCAAUGUUGCACGCCUGCAUGCGUGUGUGUGUUCGUGCGAGUGUUGCGUGCGUGCAUGUGUACGUGCAGGGUGAGGCUACAUGUUAGUCGACUGACUUUUUCAUCUCUAGUCAGUCGAUUUUCCAGCCGUUGGAUACGAAAUCAAGGGUCUGCAGUUUAUCUUCAACCUCCACCCCCUGAGUCGCCAGCCACCACCGGCCGAACCGCCGGCCUGUGCCGCCUCGCCGCCCCGCCCGCCCCAAAACCACUUCCCACCGCAGGUCCGCCGCCGCCCCGGCCAUCCCUCUAGGCCCCCCGCGCCGAGCUUUUUCUCCGGCGAUCCCCAUGCCACUGCCCAAUCACCGCGCCCCACCGCCAAUGACUGCCAACCAGAGGUCUCACGACUUUGAAUCCCCACUGACCACUAAUUUAUUACCAUUUCUGUCUUUCUUAUACGCGCUGAUGGGUGGGCCCUAUGGAAAUGUGCGCUGCUGAAUGUGGACCGUUUGACUGGUCAAUUGAUCGUGUCAUCAACAAAUUACGGAGCUGCAUGGUGUGCCAGUGACCGUAUGAUCACCCUAAAAUGUAUUUUAUUAACACAGUACAAAAUCAAACUAACAUUUCUUUCUUUCAUAUACGCGCUGACAGGUGGGCCCCAUGGUUACGUGCGUCGCUGGUGCAAUAGUAGUUGCGCCGCGUGGAACGUUUGGCUGGUCAAUUGAUUGUGUCAUCAACAAAAUACGGAGUUGUACAAGUGAUGUUGGAGAUAUAACUAUCAGGUAUGAACCGCCCAGGAGGGGCCGGGUCAUACCUUUCGCGGGUUACCAAUGAAGAUGGCGGAUCAUGCCAACUCAUUAGCGGCCCAAGACCCAGAGGCGGCUUACGGCCCAAGAGGAUGAACCUCCAUAUAUCUGUAUGACUUGUAUUGUAAGGCACACGUAGGAAGUCACCGGGCCGGACACGUUGUGUAUGAGCCGACCGGGACUCUGUGAGCCGCUGGGCGUCAACCUGCAUGUAUAAAGGGACGACCGGACGGCGGUUUAGGGCAAGAAACAAGAGGUGGAGAACUAGGUGAAGCGUAUUCGCUCCCUGGUAAUCGAGACCCAAGCAAUCAAUCCCGACUGGAGUAGGCCUUGUUACCUCAACUGCGAGGGGCCGAACCAGUAUAAACUCUCUGUGUCCUUUGUCUCGAUUAAACCCUUUAAGCUAACCUAGCGGCGAUGGCUCCACGACUAAGUCCUUUUGCUAGGACAUCUGACGUGACAAUUCCACGACCCACCGUGGGGCCAGCGCACAGUGGUUUUGAGUUUUUGAAGGGUAGCAAGGCACACAUGUAUCAUUGCUAUUAAGGAUAAAAAAGAUGGGGUCUAUUCCUACACACAUAGAGCUUGUCUACAUCAUGUCAUCGUUCUUAUUGCCUUACUCUGUUUCUCCAGGAACUUUAUACACUAGAUGCAUGCUGGAUAGUGGUUGAUGUGUGGAGUAAUAGUAGUAGAUGCAGACAGGAGUCGGUCUACUAAUAUUGGACGUGAUGCCUAUAUACAUGAUCAUUGUCUUGGAUAUCGUCAUGAUUAUUGAUAUGUCUCCGUCGUAUCUACUUUUCUUAACCCGGACUAGCGUAGUCCGGGUUAGUUUCAUUCAAAGCAUGCAAAUUAGAGACCAAAACAAGAGGAAAAACAUUAAGAAAAGUAGAUACGACGGAGACGUAUCAACUCCCCCAAGCUUGAACCUUUGCUUGUCCUCAAGCAAUUCAGUUGAUAAACUGAAAGUGAUAAAGAAUUUUUUAUGAACUAUUUUGCUCUUGUUUACAUAAAUAAGCUUAAGUAGCACCUUGGUUCUCAGCAAAGAUCAUGACUAACCAUGUCAACAAUAACUCUUAGAAAUUAGAUUAACUCAUAUCAAUAGCAUAAUCAACUAAAGAGCAAUAAUAAGAUAUCAUGACAACACUUUGUCAAAACAACCAUGAUAUAAUAUGACAACAGUGGUAUCUCGCUAUCCCUUUCUGAGACCGCAAAACAUAAAUGCAGAGCACCUCCAAAGUUCAAGCGGCGACUAAACAUUAUAAUUCAUGGUAGAAAAGAUUCAGUCAUGAUGUAUCCAACAUUAACUAUACACAAUGCAUGAAGAUGACAAUAGUGCUCUCAGAUCUGACGCUUAUUUGAGAAGGUGAUGACUCAACAUAAAAGUAAAUAGAUAGUUCGUCCGCAGAGGGAAGCAGUGAUUUGCAGCUGUGCCAGAGCUCAAAGUUUUAAAACAAAGAUAAAUGUACUUUGGAUAAAUGCACCCUUCCCGUUUACGUCACGACCGAAAGUUAUCAACAUUUUCCAUGCUAAAUACAUUAGUGGCGGUUCCCAAGUGAUAAAGUAAAGGUUUUACUCUAUAGGAGUUUUGUUUGAUUAUUUGUAAGUCAUUUAUUUUUUAUUUUGGGAUUGGGAAUCCUUUUUACCGCCUCUCAUGCAAGGACAAGUGAAUAAACAGUUGUCAUGAGACUAACCCAAUUAGAAUGGAAGAUACCGACCACCCUCUGUCGCUCUAUGAACCAUCCAGGCACACAAAAAUGGAUGUUUAUUUGAAGUUUUAGAGGUGGCACAUGCAAAUUUACUUAGGAAGGCAAGGUAAUACCACAUACAGGUAGGUAUGGUGGACUCAUCUGGAAUAACUUUGGUUUUAGGAUUUUGAUGCACAAGCAGUAUUUCCGCUUAGUACAGGUGAAGGCUAGCAAAUAUGUUGAGAAGCGGCCAGCUAGAGAGCAAAAAUGGUCAUGAACAUGCAUUAUGAAUAAUGAACAUUGGACACUAGCAUGAGUAGGAUUUAAGCACCAUGAACAUAAAUAUCAUAGAGGCUAUGUUGGUUUUGAUACAACUACAUGCAUGAACAUGUGCCAAGUCGAGCCACUUGAAACAUUCAUAGGAGGAUAUCAUAUUAUAAUAUCACAUCACCAUCAUUUUAACUCAAUGUUAGCAUCCAAGACAAAUCAUUAUCCACUCCUAGCUACUUAAGCAUGGCAUGAGAAACUAUAAUCUCUAAUUGUCAUUGCAAACAUGUUUGAUCAUAAUAUGCAAUCAUGGAUACUAGGUUAAACAUAUUUCCAAAAACAGAACAAGUUGAGUCCAUACCUGUUUCUCUCUACCUCAACCAGUUCAUCAAAUAUCAUCAUUAUUGCAUCUCACUUGCCCGACCUAAUGAUAUAAGAAUAACAAUAGUGCAAGAGUGCCAUGGACUAAGCUGGAAUCUUUGCUAACAUUUUAUUCAAAAAGGAGAAGGCAAGGCAAUUUGUGCUCUUUGUUAGAUAAACGAUAAAGCAUAAUAUAAGUGAAGCAUGAGAGUUCAACAAUUUCUAUAAAAUAAAGCCACCGUCGUGCUCUAAAAAGAUAUAAGUGAAGCACUAGAGCAAAUUGCUUAGCUCAAAAGAUAUAAGUGAAUCACAUAGAGUAUUCUAAUAAAUUCACGAUUCAUAUGUGUACCUCUCAAAAGGUGUGUACAGCAAGUAUGAUUGUGCAAACUAAAAAGCAAAGACUCAUAUCACACAAGAUGCUCCAAGAAAAACACAUAUCAUGUGGUAAAUAAAAAUAUUACCUCAAGUAAAUUUACCGAUAAACGAAGACGAAAGAGGGGAUGUAAUCCAGGGCAUCCUCAAGCUUAGAUGCUUGGUUGUCCUUGAAUAUUACCUUGGGGUGCCUUGGGCAUCCCCAAGAAUAGGCUCUUGCCAUUCCUUAUUUCAUAGUCCAUCAAAUUUUUACCCAAAACAUGAAAACUUCGCAACAUAAAACUCAACAGAAAACUCAUGAGAUCUGUUAGUAUAAGAAAAUAAAUCACCAUUUUUUGAUACUAUUGUGAACUCAUUCUUCAUUUAUAUUGCUGUAAUAUCUAUUGUAUUCCAACUUCUCCAUGGUUCAUACCCCUCGAUAUUACCCAUAAAUUCAUUAAAAUAAGCAAAGAACACAUAGAAAAAAGAAUCUAUCAAAAGCAGAACAGUCUGUAGCAAUCUGAAAACUUCGUAUUUUUAUAACUCGAAAAAAUUCCGAAAAAUUAGGACAACCUCGUAAAUUUGUACGUCAAUCUAGUGUAAAAACUUCAGAUCAAAAGAACGCUUCUAUGAUUUUUGAAAAUUAUUUUACUGGGUGCAAAAUUUUCUGUUUUUUAGCAAGAUCAAAUCAACUAUCACCGGAAGCCAUCCCAAAGGUCUUACUUGGCUCAAACACGAAUUAAAACACCACAACAUAAUUACUACAGAGGUAAUAAUGUGUAUUUAUUGAAAAAUAGAACCAAAAACCAAAAACAUAAAAAUAAAAUUGGGUUGCCUCCCAAUAAGCGCUAUUUUUUAACGCCGCUCGCUAGGCUUAAAACAUAGAUUUAGGUAUUGUCAUCUUUGGUUUGCAAUCCACAAGUAGCUUAAUAGAUUCAUAUGACAACUUAAUUUUCUUUCUUGGAAAGAUUUCCAUGCCCUUCCUCAAAAGAAUUGAAAUUUAAUGUUUAAUUCUUUCAUAUCAAUAAUUGCACCAAUCGUUCUAAGGAAAGGUCUACCAUGAAUAAUCAGACAUGUAGGAUAGCAUUCUAUAUCAAGCACAAUAAAAUCUACGGGCACAUAAUUAAUAUUUUCAACAAUAAGAACAUCAUUAAUCCUUCCCAUAUGUUUCUUAAUAGUGGAAUCCGCAAGAUGCAAAUUUAAAUAACAAUCAUCAAAUUCACGGAAACCUAGCACAUCACAUAAAGUUUUUGGGGUCGUGGAAAUGCUAGCACCCAAAUCACACAAUGCAUGACACUCAUAAUCCUUAAUUUUAAUCUUAAUUAUAGGUUCCCACUCAUCAUAAAGUUUUCUACAGAUAGAAACUUCAAACUCAAGUUUUUUCCUUCAAAUGAUUUCAUCACAACAUCAACGAUAUGUUUAGUAAAAGCUUUAUUUUGAUUAUAAGCACAAUGAGAAUUCAACAUGGAUUGCAACAAGGAAAUACAAUCUAUCAAAUAACAAAUAUCAUAAUUAAAAUCCUUGAAAUCCAAGAGAGUGGGUUCAUCGUUACUUAAAGUUUUGACCUCUCCAAUCCCACUUUUAUCAAUUUUUGCAUUAAGAUCUAUAAACUCCGAAUCAUUGGGACGCUUUUUAGCUAAAAUUGACUCAUCUCCAGUCCCAUAUUUAUCAAGAUUUAUAUUAGAAAACAAAAAUUAUAUUAGAAAACAAAUAUUCAAUGCGAGUCACAUCAAUCACUUUAAGAUCUUCAUCAUUAUUUUCGCAAAAACUAGAAUAACACACUUUUAUAAACCAAUCUCGCUUAGCACGCAUCCUAGCAGUUCUUUAUUUACACUCACCAAUAGAAAUCUUAAUAGCUUUCAGAGAUUCAUUAAUUUCAUGCUUGGGUGGCAUAGAUCUAAUUUUGAAAGAAUCAAUCUAAAGAGAAAUUAUAUCAACGCUCCUAGCCAAAUCAUCAAUCUUGAGCAAUAUUUAUUCAACUAUAGCAUUGCAUUUUUUUGGGGGAAUUAAUAAAAUCUUUAAUAUUGUUCUCAAGAUCAGAGGGAAUUUUAUUAUUAUUUUCAUAAAAAUUGUUAUAAGAAUCAACAUAAUUAUUAGAGAAAAUUACUAGGAAAUGGCCUAGGAUUGACAUUACCUCUAUAUGCGUUAUUACCAACAUUGUUCCUACCAAAAAUAUUCACAUCCAUAGAUUCAUUAUUAUUCUCAAUCAAAGUAGACAAAUGCAUAUCAUUAGGAUCAAUAGGAGCACUCUUGAUAGCAAACAAUUUCAUAAGUUCAUCCAUCUUUCCACUCAAAGUAUUAAUUUCUUCUUCAAUCGCAUGCACAUUUUUACUAGUAGCAGAUCUUUCGGUAUGCCAUUGAGAGUAAUUAGACAUAAUAUUAUUUAGGAGUUUAGUAGAUUCUCCUAAUGUGAUUUCCAUAAAAGUACCUCCUGCGGCCAAAUCUAAAAGAUAUCUAGAUGCAAAAUUCAAUCCGUCAUAAAAAAAUUGUUUGAUCAUCCAUAAACUUAAACCAUGAGUAGGGCAAUUUCUUAUCAUCAAUUUCAUCCUAUCCCAAGAUUGUGCAACAUGUUCAUGAUCAAGUUGCUUCAAAUUCAUUAUAUCGUUCCUAAGGGAGAUGAUCUUAGCGGGAGGAAAAUACUUGAAAAUAAAAGCAUCUUUACACUUGUUCCAUGAAUCAAUACUAUUUUUAGGUAAAGAUGAAAACCAAGUUUUAGCGCGAUCUCGUAGUGAUAGCUAUAAGCAGGAUUUUGCCUUUAGUAAAAACACAGAUAGCUCAAGAAAUAAUGCUGACAAAAGAGCAGAACAUACAUAUUUCCAAAGCUAUUCUUGGCAUAUGCACCACCACGGUUACCAAUAUACAUGAACAUGUCCCUGAGCGUAAGCUGAAGAAAACAAAAUGUCUUAAGCAGGAUAAACACUUCUUUUUAGGGCAGCAGGGUAAACACAUCAAACAAUCAGUAUAAGCUCUAAUCCUAGAAUAGUUAAUAAGAAGGAAAAAAUGAUGAACUAGAUAUACCUCAAUGGUAGAUAAUCCAUGCGACACCAUCUCAAUCAUUCGGGUUCUUGACUGCAAUCACACAGGGGAGUCACAGUACAAUUUCUAGAGUUAACAUCCAAUCUACUGAAUGGGGAUAGGACCCCAAAUGAGCCAGAGCUCGCUGUUACUAAAAGUAUCUAUUGUAUAGUCAUUUCAUCAAUAUAACUUCAUUAAGAAUGAUAAGUACGUUGUAUUGAUCGAACCCAUCAAGGUCUUUGUAGCUCUGCUAAAGACAUACAAUACUUGGUGACUUGGUGUUGUGAAGCACCGAGCUAAUGAGCAAUUCAAUAAACACUGAUAUGAUGUGGGGAACCAAUCAAGCAAUCACACACCUCCUGGUCGGAUUCCUCGUUCUCGAACUUGGGGUAGAAGGUGGCCCGGAUCCGUGCCUCCGCGAAGGUGUUGCUGCUGUCUGAGAACUCGUUGAGCAGAGCGGAGAGCUCGUCACCGGCGCCGCCCUGCUUUGUCGCGGCCCCUGCAGUGUCCGUGCUGGGGACGGCCAUGGAUGAGGGGGCGGUGGUGGGAGCGGACCUGUGCUGCGCCUGCUUGCCCUGCGAGGAGAGACGUGGUUAGGGUUCGGGGAGCUAGAGAGGAGGAGCAGGGUCGAGAGGUGGCGUACGUGGUCGCGGCGAGGAGGCAUUGCGAGGGGCGGGGGCUGAUACGUCUCCAACGUAUCUAUAAUUUUUGAUUGUUCCAUGCUAUUAUAUUACCCGUUUUGGAUGUUUAUGGGCUUUACUCUACACUUUUAUAUCAGUUUUGGGACUAACCUACUAAGCGGAGGCCCAACCUGAAUUGCAGUUUUUUUUGCCUAUUUCGGUGUUUUGAAGAAAGGGAAUAUCAAACAGAGUCCAAACGCGAUGAAACCUUCGGAAGCGAUCUUUUUGGAACAAAUGCAAACCUGGAGACUUGGAGUGGAAGUCAAUCAAAAAGCGAGGCGGCCACGAGGGUGCCUGGCAUGCCCCCUAUAGGUGGGUGACUUCUUCCUCCUAUAUAUACCCACGUACCCUAAAAACAUCCAGGAGCACCAGAAAAAAGUAUUUCCACCACCGCAACCUUCUAUAUCCAUGAGAUCCCAUCUUGGAGCCUUCGCCGGCACUCCGCCGGAGGGGGAAUCGACCACAGAGGUCCUCUACAUCAUCUGCAAGGCCUCUCCGAUGAGUUGUGAGUAGUUUACCAUAGACCUUCGGGUCCAUAAUUAUUAGCUAGAUGCCUUCUUCUCUCUCUCUCUAACUCAAUACAAAGUUCUCCUUGAUCUUCUUGGAGAUCUAUUCGACGUAACUCUUUUGCGGUGUGUUUGUCGAGAUCCGAUGAAUUGUGGGUUUAUGAUCAAGUUUAUCUAUGAGAAAUAUUUGAAUCUCUCUGAAUUCUUUUAUGUGUGAUUAAGUUAUCUUUGCAAGUCUCUUCGAAUUAUCAGUUUGGUUUGGCCUACUAGAUUGGUCUUUCUUGCAAUGGGAGAAGUGCUUAGCUUUGGGUUCAAUAUUGCAGUGUCCUUUCCUAGUGACAUCAGGGGCAGCAAGGCAGGUAUUGUAUUGUUGCCAUCGAGGAUAAAAAGAUGGGGUUUAUAUCAUAUUGCAUGAGUUUAUCCCUCUACAUCAUGUCAUCUUUCUUAAUGCGUUACUCUAUUCUUUAUGAACUUAAUACUCUAGAUGCAUGCUGGAUAGCGGUCGAUGUGUGGAGUAAUAGUAGUAGAUGCAGGUAGGAGUCAGUCUACUUGUCACGGACGUGAUGCCUAUAUACAUGAUCAUGCCUAGAUAAUCUCAUAAUUAUUCGCUUUUCUAUCAAUUGCUCAACAGUAAUUUGUUCACCCACCAUAAUUCUUAUGCUAUCUUGAGAGAAGCCACUAGUGAAACCUAUGGCCCCCGGGUCUAUCUUUUAUCAUAUAAGUUUAUCAUCUACUUUUAUUUGCAUCUUUACUUUUCCAAUCUAUAUCAUAAAAUACCAAAAAUAUAUUUAUCUUGUCAUAUUAUCUCUAUAAGAUCUCACUUUCGCAAGUGGCCGUGAAGGGAUUGACAACCCCUUUAUUGCGUUGGUUGCAAGGUUCUUGUUUGUUUGUGUAGGUGCGUGGGACUUCUGAGGAGCCUCCUACUGGAUUGAUACCCUGGUUCUCAAAAACUGAGGGAAAUACUUACUCUACUUUGCUGCAUCACCCUUUCUCAUGGAAAACCAACACAAGCUCAAGACGUAGCAGGGGCGGAAAUGGAAGUCGGUGGGAAAAGCGGCGCUGCCGGCUCGGCGCAUGGCGUGUUCCGGUGAAAGGACCUUCGGUUGACUAGGUUAUUUUUUCAGGCAAGGGGGCGGGCACGGAUCGACAGGCUACAAAUAAGCUUGGGUUGGGCCCGGUUGCUCAUAGCGAAUAAGGUCCAGGGCACAUCUUCGAUCCAUAUUACAUAUUAAUUGUCAUUUAUAUAUGCCUCAAAAAAAAUUAAUUGCCGUUUUCAAAGGCAUUAUAUGUUUCGAGAGCUCAAGGCGUUUUUUUAAAAUAAAACUAUUACAUGUAGACUCUUGUUGAUUGUCAUUAGUAAGUGGUUCUAGCAUCAUCUUUUUUUGUUUGUUUCGAGACGAUUUACUAGUUCUAGUGAAAAGAACUUCAACAAAACCAACACAAUAUAUAUGUUGAUAAUGAUGAGCGGUUGAACUUCAUCAGUAAAAUGAUCACAACAUUGUUCUUUAUUUCGAAAUUGCGCAUCAGCUGGCGCAAUUAGCAUGAUCACUUGGAACACCAUAAAAUUGAUUAGGAUGUAUCGGAUGGCAAAGGAGGAUGGGACGAUGUCGCCGAUGCACCGGAAGAAGAAUAUGUAUUUUUGCACCAAUCCAUGCAUUAGUCCAUUUAAACAUAGCAGAGGUUGUUUGUUAGACAACACUCGCAAUGAGAUGCACCUGCGCAGUCUAUACCACUCUUAUGCACGCACAAUCCAUGUGGUAAAUUAAUCUUCUUGUUGACUUUGCCAUCCAUGAUUCGGCCAACGGG